rnacentral:lncRNA from 1 species
UUCUUUCAGUCUACAUUACGAGAUUGGAUUAUUGCUAAUUUACAAAAUAAGUGGAAAAUUGCUUCUCCAUUAUCUUGGGAAUGUAUCUUCGGCGUAGCGGUUUGGAGAUUAUGGUAUUGGCGGAAUCAUUUUAUCGUGCAUGGGAAGUUGGCGGAUAGCUCAACAGUUUAUUUAGAUAUUAUGGCCAGAGCUAACGAAAUCCAUAGACUAAAUAAUUCUCACAUAAGUCAGCAGCCGCGGCGAAAGGAAAUUUUUAUUGGAUGGCUUCCACCUCCAGGGCCUUGGUGCAAAUUGAAUACAGAUGGGUCUUGUAGAAAAUCUGAGGGUGCAGGAGCUGGGGGUAUUCUUCGAGACUCUGUUGGCCACUGGAUUUCUGGAUUUUGUAUGAAUAUUGGAGAAAGUUUGGUGCUCAUGGCUGAGCUUUGGGGGUUGUAUCAAGGAUUACGUAUAGCUUGGGAUACUGGCAUAAAACGUAUUUUGGUUGAAGUGGAUAGCCUUUGUGUUACUCAAAUGAUCUCGAAGCAGGUGGUUGUGCCUAACGAAUUCUAUGCAUUAGUCGCUGCUGUCCAGGAAUUAGUUAGCAGAAAUUGGCAGAUUUCCAUCACCCAUAUUUAUCGUGAAGCAAAUUCGGCGGCGAAUUUUAUGGCGAAUAUGGCUCAUUCACACCCCCAUGGGUUGCAUUUAUUUUCUAGCCCGCCUGUGGGUAUUUAUUCAAUUAUUGUGCAAGACUUAUUUGGGGUGUCUCAACCCCGUCUUAUUCAUGUUUAGCUCGCUUGUUUGAGCCCCAUUUAAUAAAAAAUACAUUAAAAUAUUAAAAAAUAAGAAAAAAUUCCAAAUUUUUCUAUUUCUGGUUUUAUUUCAGUUUAAUAUUAUUGGUUCCGUUCUGCUCUGUUCUUGGUUGUCUGUAUAUCUGUAUAUAUUUUUGGCCUCGAAUUGCUUUGAUCACCGGUUUUGUUCUUCAUUUAUAGUGAAUUUUAGAUACCCAUUAAACUUGUUUGGCCAUGUAUUCACUUGAUUGUUACAUUCAGCUGCCAUUUUCAUGGUGGGUUUGUAAGAUAGUCUCUGACUAACAUAUGUCAUUGAUUAUGAAUGAUGGUUUUGUGAGAUACACCAUAUAGACGUUAACUUUGUCAAGAUUGAUAUCUCUUCUAGAUAUUCAAACUUUGAAUAUCAAAUUUAAAAUUCUAGAUAUUCAAAGUUUGAAUAUCAAACUUUGAACUUUGAAUUUUGAAAAAUAAUAAAUAAUUGAAAAAAAUACGUGAAUAGUAGCCAAGAUUUUGGCUAUAAAUAGAGGGGCUCAUUCCCUCAUUUGCUCAUCCAAUUUUGAGAAGAGUUUUCUUGUAUUUAGAGAGAGUUUAGAGAGCUUGAAAUUAUAAGCUCUUGUUUUAGUGUUUUAAGAGUUUGGGUGUAUUGGGGUUUUGGGAAGUGAGCUAAAAUACUAUAAUACUUGUAACUCAUUUUCACUAGUAAACUAUUUUUCUUCUGUCUUCGCCCGUGGACGUAGGCUAAAAGCCGAACCAUGUAAUUUCUGGUGUCCUCUUUUAUGCUUGUUCUUUAUUUUCUUCCAAUUUCAUUUUAGCUACGGCCCUGCUUCACCCAUCAAUUUCCUAACAGUGGUAUCAGAGUUAUUGGUUGUAUUUUUGGAGUCGGGUACUAUUCACGUAUACGGUACUGUUCAGGUAUACGAUAUUAUUUAUGUAUACGGUAUUGUUCACGUAUACGGUAUUGUUUAUAUAUACGGUACUGUUCAUGAGAAACUGUGGGAGCGAUCCAAGAAUUUUGCGGUGCAAAGCAGGGAAUAGUGGUGUGAGUAAAGCAACUGUGUGAUUUUGUACAUGUCUAGGAAAGUUCUGUCACAAAGGCGAUAAGAACUUAAGGAGUCUGGAUUUUAAGUGGGACCAUUGUGACCCCUCCAGUCUUUCUUGGGAACUUUCCUGGUGUGCAUAUUCACACAUAUUCACACGUACUCACAACUAUUCGAGGUGAUACACUAGUUUGUGUACAAUAUUUAUCAACAAAAUGGCGGCAAAGUAUGAAAUUGAGAAGUUCUACGGGAAUAAUUUUUCGUUAUGGAAAAUGAAGAUGAAAGUUGUAUUGAGGAAAAAUAAUUACUUGGCAACAAUUGGAGAAAGGCCCAUGGAGAUAACUGAUGACAAGUGGAACGAGGUAGAUGGCAACGCCAUUUCUGAUCUACACUUGGCACUUGCUGAUGAAGUAUUAUCCAGUGUGGCAGAGAAAAAUACAGCGAAGGAAAUAGAGAUACUCUCACAAAAUUGUACGACGCCAAGUCACUACACAACAAAAUCUUAUUGAAGAGAAAACUCUAUACUCUUCGAAUGGCGGAAUCUACAAUCGCGACCGACCACAUCAACACCUUGAAAACUCUAUUUUCACAACUCACAACGUUGGGUCAUAAUAUAGAAGAGAAUGAACAUGCAGAGCUUCUACUUCAAAGUCUACCAGAUUCGUAUGAUCAACUCAUCAUCAACCUGACGAACAACAAUCCAACGGACAGUAUAGUUUUCGACGAUAUUGCAGCCUCCGUAUUAAAUGAGGAGAGCAGAUGGAAAAAUAAGGAAAACAGACAAGCAAGUUCGCAGCAAGCGGAGGCGCUAUCGAUGACGAGAGGGAGAUCAACAGAACGUGGCCCCAGUGGGAGUCACAAUCAUGGUAGAUCAAAAUCUAGAAGUAAGAAGAAUGUUAAAUGCUAUAAUUGUGGCAAGAAAUGGCACGUCAAGAAAGAGUGUUGGAGUAACCAGAAGAGAAAAGAGGGUAAAGAUCAUGAGUCAUCAAAUGCUCAGGGGUGUGUAGCAAGUACCUCGGAUGAUGGUGAAAUUCUCUACAGCGAGGCAACAACUGUUUCAAAAGGCAGAAAAUGACUAUUUGAUGUCUGGCUUAUAGACUCAGGAGCUACCUGACACAUGACCUCUCGAAGAGAAUGGUUCCACACAUAUGAACCUAUCUCAGGAGGAUCUGUAUAUAUGGGUAACGAUCAUGCCUUGGAGAUCGCUGGUAUUGGUACUAUAAAAAUAAAAAUGUUUGAUGGUACAAUUCGCACAAUUGGGGAGGUACAACAUGUCAACGGUCUGAAGAAAAAUCUAUUGUCUUUAGGACAAAUGGAUAGUCAUGGGUACAAAACUCAUGUGGAGAAUGGAAUUAUGAAGAUCGUUAAAGGCGCGCUUGUAUUGAUGAAGGCAGAAAAGAUCGGUGCUAAUUUAUUCAUACUUAAAGGAGAAACGCUACAAGAGGCUGAUGCGUGUGUCGCGUCAAAUGGAAAAGAAUCAACAAUGAUGUGGCGCCUCAAAUUUGGCCACAUGUCAGAACAAGGUUUGAAAAUUCUCUCUGAGCGAAAAUUGCUUACAGGGCUCAAAUCGGUAAGUUUACCAUUUUGCGAGCAUUGUGUUACAAGUAAGCAGUAUAUAUUAAAAUUCAGUAGAUCUGUUGCUAGAAGUAAAUGCAUUCUAGACUUGAUUCAUUCUGAUGUUUGGGAAUCACCGGAUAUGUCCAUGGGAGGUGCAAAGUACAUGGUGACUUUCAUUGAUGAUUAUUCCAGGAGAUGUUGGGUGUAUCCAAUUAAGAAAAAAGUCAUAUGUAUUUCCAGUGUUUAAAGAAUAUAAAGCGCGGGAGGAACUUGAAUCCGGAAAAAAGAUCAAGUGCUUGAGGAUGGAUAAUGGUGGAGAGUAUACAGACGGUGAGUUUCUUACUUUUUGUAAGUAAGAAGGUAUUCAGAGGCAGUUCACGGUGGCAUAUACUCCUCAACAAAAUGGAGUGGCAGAGCGGAUGAACAUGACUCUUACAGAACGAAUAAAAGCUAUGUUGAGGACUGCAGGUCUACCUAAUUCAUUCUGGGUAAAAGCAGCCAAAAUUGCCUGUUAUAUAGUAAAUCAGUCGCCAUCUACAGCUAUUGGGCUGAAGACAACGAUGGAAAUGUGGAUUGGAAAGCCAACUGAUUACUAAUAUCUACAUGCAUUUGGAUGUCCUGUGUACGUGAUGUACAAUGACCAAGAAAGAACAAAGCUGGAUCCAAAAUCUAGAAGAUGUAUCUUCUUGGGAUAUGCUGAUGGAGUAAAGGGGUAUCGUCUGUGGGACCCCACUACCCACAAGAUCGUCAUCAGCAGAGAUGUUAUCUUUGUAGAAGAUCAACUGAAAAUGAGAAAUGAGGAUAAUAGCACUGUAAAAGAAAAGUCAGAGACUGUACCGGUGUAUGUGAAAAAUAAUCUGGAAAAAGAAGAUUCAGAUUCUUCUAAAGCAGCACCAGAGCACGAGGAACAAGAACCAGUUGAGUCCGAGGCUCCAGAAGUUCGUCGGUCAACUUGUGAGAGACGACCGCCAACGUGGCACUCGGAGUAUGUCACAGAGAUCAACGUUGCAUACUGUCUUCUAACAGAAGAUGUAGAGUCAUCAACUUUCCAUGAAGCUUUAAACAACUCAGAUGUUACUUUGUGGAUGAUAGCAAUGCAUGAAGAAAUUGAAGCUCUACACAAGAAUAACACAUGAGAACUUGUACCACUACCACAUGGAAGAAAAGCCAUUGGUAACAAAUGGGUCUACAAGAUCAAGCGUGAUGGCAAUGACCAAGUGAAGCGGUAUCGUGCAAGAUUGGUGGUGAAAUGAUAUGCUCAGAAAGAAUGUAUUGACUUCAACGAGAUAUUUUCUCUGGUAGUUCGACUCACGACAGUCAGAAUAGUCUUGGCGAUGUGUAUUACAUUUGACUUACAUCUUGAGCAGUUGGAUAUGAAAACUGCAUUUCUUCAUGGAGAACUUAAAGAAGAAAUUUAUAUGCUUCAACCAGAAGGCUUUGCUGAAAAGGGAAAUGAGAACUUGGUUUGUAGGUUGAACAAAUCUUUAUACGGUCUCAAACAGGCGCCGAGAUGUUGGUAUAAGAGAUUUGAUUCCUUCAUCAUGAGCCUUGGAUACAACAGACUCAGUUUAGACCAUUGUGCAUAUUACAAAAGGUUUGAAGAUAAUGAUUUCAUUAUUUUGUUGUUGUAUGUGGAUGACAUGUUGGUAGCAGGCCCCAACAAAGAUCGAAUCCAAGAAUUGAAGGCACAAUUGGCUAGGGAAUUUGAAAUGAAGGACUUGGGACCAACAAACAAGAUUCUAGGGAUGCAAAUUCACCGAGACAGAAAUAACAUGAAGAUUUGGCUUUCUCAGAAGAACUACUUGAAGAAAAUCUUGCGACGCUUCAACAUGCACGAUUGUAAGUGAAUUUUUACCCCACUUCCUGUUAAUUUCAAGUUAUCCUCAAGUAUGUGUCCUAGCAAUGAAGCAGAGAGGAAUGAGAUGUCUCGAGUACCGUAUGCAUCAGCAGUGGGAAGUUUGACGUUCGCUAUGAUAUGUACUAGACCAGACAUUGCACAAGCAGUGAGAGCAGUUAGUCGAUACAUGAUGAAUCUUGAUGGAGAGCAUUGGAUAGCUGUGAAGAGGAUUCUGAGAUACAUCAAAGGAACCUCCGAUGUUGCAUUAUGUUAUGGAGGAUCAGAGUUUACUGUCAGGGGCUAUGUGGAUUCAGAUUUUGCAGGAGAUCUUGAUAAAAGAAAAUCCACUACUGGCUAUGUGUUUACACUUGCUGGAGCAGUUGUAAGCUGGGUUUCAAAACUGCAAAUCAUUGUGGCCCUAUCUACAACAGAAGCAGAAUACAUGGCAGCUACACAAGCUUGCAAGGAAGCUAUUUGGAUACAAAGGUUAUUGGAGGAGCUCGGGCACAAACAACAGAAAACUCUUGUGUUUUGUGACAGUCAGAGUGCCUUGCAUAUUGCAAGGAAUCUAACCUAUCAUUCCAGGACAAAGCACAUAGGGGUACAGUAUCACUUCGUUCGAGAAGUAGUGGAAGAUGGAAGUGUGGAUUUACAGAAAAUCCAUACCAAAGAGAACUUAGCAGAUGUUUUGACUAAGCCAAUUAUUGCUGACAAGUUUAUCUGGAGUAGAUACUCUUGUGACCUAGCAGAAACGUAGGCAACAUGACAAUGACGAAGCAGAAAGGAUGGUGUGGAGAUUGAUUGGUUCUCAAUCAAAUCUCCAAGUGGGGGAAUGUCAAGAUUGAUAUCUCUUCUAGAUAUUCAAACUUUGAAUAUCAAAUUCAAAAUUCUAGAUAUUCAAAGUUUGAAUAUCAAACUUUGAACUUUGAACUUUGAACUUUGAAUUUUGAAAAAUAAUAAAUAAUUGAAAAAAAAUACGUGAAUAGUAGCCAAGAUUUUGGCUAUAAAUAGAGGGGCUCAUUCCCUCAUUUGCUCAUCCAAUUUUGAGAAGAGUUUUUUUUAUAUUUAGAGAGAGUUUAGAGAGCUUGAAAUUAUAAGCUCUUGUUUUAGUGUUUUGAGAGUUUGGGUGUAUUGGGGUUUUGGGAAGUGAACUAAAAUACUACAAUACUUGUAACUCCAUUUCACUAGUAAAAUAUUUUCCGUCUGUCUUCACCCGUGGACGUAGGUUAAAAGCCGAACCACAUAAUUUCUAGUGCCCUCUUUUAUGCUUGUUCUUUAUUUUUUUCCAAUUUCAUUUUAGCUGCGGCCCUACUUCACCAAUCAAUUUUCUAACAAACUCGUAUUAAUGUGUACUUACUUCAUUCAAGAGAUUAGUGUUUUUCUCUCUUUUUUUCUAUAAAAAAAAAAAUUGAAAUGCCUUUUCGCAUUUUAUAGGUGAAAGGAAGAAACAUAAUAUCGCAGGACUAGAAUAAAGGAGCCUAUUCUGGUACCUAUUGUCCAAGGAAGCUUCGGUACAUUGGGUAGGCACUGCCAUGGAAGUCAAUCUUACCAGAGCCAGGCGGAGUCGUUCCUAAAGGAAUAUAUAUUAGCAUAUCCAUUUGUCCCGUACACUUCAAUUGUCGAUAGCAUUUUUGUUUGCAAGAUGGUAUGUUUUUUGUCGUUACUGCGUGGUGGUAUUUACUAGAAAAUAUUUUGAAUGCAUAGUUUUUAUUUAAUUAGUUAUAAAAUUUUUAUACCCUCUGUUUUCCAUAAGAAUGUGUUCCUUUUCAGGUCUAUUAUCUUGCCAAAUUGAUUAGUGCUGUUCAAUUUAAAUGUUAUUCCAAUUUCUCCAACAUACAGUGGGUCGAGUGGAGUAACAGGUGAUUGAAUAUUUUCAUUUAGUUCAAUUUUCAUUUCCUUUUCAAUCGGUAAAGUUUAAUCAUUUUCUUAAAUCGACAACUGAUGCAUGGCCAUAUCAACCGUCCAUGCCAUUUUUAUAACAGCAAUGCCUUUGUACUUUGUGUUUUGGUCGGAUCUCAGAGUUUCUUGGAUAAACAAUUGUGCAUCCUAUGAUCUAGGCAUGGUCGUUUGGACUGAACUAGUUUUUAAUAAAUAAUUGCCCAAGGAUUUAGUCUCAGUGUUACAGCCCAGUCUUUGUUGUCCAUACUCUUUCGCCCGUCGUGGAUGAGUGCCAUAACAGCUUCUUAGAUAGCGUUUACUUUUUGGAUUGGAGUGAGAAUCUUGAGAAGUGGGAAUCCUAGGAUUGGGAGUGUGGAGUGGGAGUGAGAGUAGGUUGUUUACUUACACUGGAAUGAAAGUAUGGAAUAGAGAUCAGAAUCCAAUUUAUGUGUUUACUUUGUCUUGGAUUGGGAGUAAAUAGUUUCAAAUUACAAUUUUAUCCUUAUGUAAAGAAUUAUAGUUUUUAAUUACAAAGUUAAUAAAAAAUAUAUUUAAUGAAUAAACAUUUAUUUUAUUAUAUUUGUAAAUUUAUAAUAAUUAUUAAUAUUCUUAAUUAUGAACAUCACAAUUUUUUUUAUAAUUUUAAUUAUAUAAAUUAAAAAUUGUUGAUAAGGGCAAUAUAAAUGAAAUAUUUUUACUAUUAACUUAGUAUGAAAUUAAUAUUUUCUUAGAAUAUACUAUUUAUUAGUAUUAAUUACUAAUAUUAAAUAAAUAUAAUACUAUUAUUUUUAAAUAAAUAUAAUAAUAUUAUAUUUUCAAAUAAAGAUUGUAUAUAGUAAUAUUAUUAAUUCUCUCUUAAUAUAAUAAUAUUAUUUUUAAGUAAAUUAAACUUAGAAUCAAACCCAAUUAUUAUUUAGUUAAAUAUAAUAAUAUUAUUUAAAUAUUUAUUAAAUAUAGUUAUAGUAAAUUUAAUAAAAAGAAGGGUAAAUAUAAAAUGAAACGUUAUUUUAUUUUAUAUAAUUAUAUUAAAUUUAUUAAUAUAAUAUUAUUUAGUACAAAAUUAAUAUUUUCUUAGAAUAAACUAUUUAUUAUUAUUAAUUAUUAAUAUUAAAUAAAUAUAGUACUAUUAUUUUUAAAAUAAAUAUAAUAAUAUUAUAUUAUUAAAUAAAGAUAGCAUAUAUUUAUUAAUUCUCUAUUAAGAUAAUAUUAUUAUUUUUAAGUAAUUUUAACUUAUAAUCAAUGUAAAUUAUUAUUUAGUUAAAUAUAAUAAUAUUAUUUAAAUAAAUAUAAUUAUAAAUUAUUUUAUUUUAUUAAAUUAAAUUAAAAACAAAGGGUAGAAAAGGGAGAGGUGGGAGUGGGACCAUGGGAGUCCCACUCCCACUCCCCACUCCAAAAAUGGAUGGGGCCCACGGAGUGAGAUUCUCAAUCCCUCUCUAUUUUGUUGAAGUAAACACUGGAGUAGGAGGAAUCCACACUUCUCACUCCCACUCCAGAAAGUAAACACUGCCUUAAUGUUUUGAAGUGGCUUUUGCACGGUUGUUGUUUCCUUCUGAAGCUAUAGAGUAGCUAUGGAUAUAGCAGAUGCAGAUGCCACUAAUUUUUAUACUGGCCUUUCAUCAUCAAAAUGAAAAGGAUCAAGCGGGAACUUAAAAGAAGGUUGAUUUGAAUGAAACACCCUCUAUGCAAGCCAAGAGACUCCAAUUAAGACUGCAAGCUCUGCUUAAAACAGGUAUUUAUAUACCUUAUUAGUUUUUGUACCUUUACAAUUAGUGAUUUUUGUAUCAAAAGAGAGGUUAAUUUUUAGUACACAAGUGCGGCUCUUCCUCUAGACAACUGCCUAGAGCCCCACUAUAGAUGAAGACCCCAAAUUUUUCUCUAACAUUAUAGCUAUUAAAUUAUUCAUUUAUUUUUAUUUUUAUUUUUAUUUUUAUUAUUCUAUAAUAAUCUUUGUUCAAAUAAAUUAUCAAAUCCCUACAAAAUCUCUUUUUAAAGUUGGAAUAAACAAUGUUAAUCCUAUUUACUCCUACAAAAUCUCUACUUAAUGUUAUUUCAUUUAAAACUCUAUAAAAGUCACACAUUUGUUAACUUGUUAUCCAUUAAUAUUUUUAUUCAUUAAAAGAAAAGCACGAGACAUUCAAUGCUUCAAUUCAUAAGGAAAAAAAGAAGCUUUUUUUAAUUUUUACUUAAGAAAAAAAUUAACUAUUUUCAUUGACCGCUGCUGUUUAAAACUUCAAUCCAUCAAAAUUAGAGUUUCAAAUAUCCAAGUUUUAUUCUUCCUAUUCUCUUCUUAAUCAGUUGUGUUAUUCAAUUGUUAUUGUUUCUUUUUUAAAUAUUAUUGUUGUUUUCUUUUAAUUAUCCAGCAUAAUUGUUUACUUGUUUUCUCUUCUUUCACUAAAAAAAGAAAAAAAUGUCUAAUAGAAAAUGUGCAUCAAGAUACAAAAAACUUGGGAAAAAAGAGAAGAAUAAAAAAGUAGUUCGAUCUAAAAAAUGAGCUCUUGAUAAGUUUGUCAAAAAUAGUAAAAAAAGAUAUGAAUUAUAGUGAGGAAUUAGUGAUUGAUGAAGUUUUUCAAAAUUAAAAUUAAUAAAAAUUUAUUUAAGAUCAAAUAAGUCGCAAGAAAAGUUAAAUGAUUUAGCUAUAUUGAGAAGAAUGUAUUAGCGAAAUUAGAAAUAAAAAUUUGAGCAAUAAUUUUGCACCUAAGAAAGCUAGAAAAUUUGAUUUUAAAUAAAUAACUUUUUAGUAAAACAAAUACAUAUAUUUGACCUCAAAUUUUUUAAAAGGCCUAAUUAAAGCAAUUCAUCUAAGGCCCCAAAAUUAGUUGAGCCGCCCCUAUUAGUACAUUCAUAUCUCAACAAAAUGUUAGAACCUUUGUAGCACUAGAGACAUUUUCUUAGAGCAUUUACUGACCUUUCUAUGAUUGCAGUGGAGACAGGUCGACGCUACUUCCCUCAUUGCUCAGAAGUGGUUGAUAAGUUUUUGGAUUGUGAUUGGUCCGAUUCUUCCCUCCUAGAAAAGGGUACUCCUGAAGAGCAGAAACUCAAAAGGGCACGCUUCAUGAAACUUAAAGAAGACCUGAAGAAGGCAUUUUACAAGGACAUGGCUGAGAAAAAUCCCUCAGGUCUGUCGUCAUCUUCUCCGAAGGAAGGAGUAAAGUGUAAGGGUAGGAAAAGGUGAUGCUUAGCUGCUUGUCUUUGUUAUUCAUUUAUAGGCAACUAAGUGUUUUAGUGAGUUUGGUUGUUACUUGUAGAGAGAUACUCUUAGGGCAUAUGUUAUGGUUAUGUUGUAUAAUAGCAGAGAAACUUUAAGCAUGCAUUGUUGUAUUUUCCCAGAUAUUUGGCUUGUAAUACACCAAAUGACAAAGAAUUUUCUAUUUUUAGAGGGGAAAGUUAUGUCAGUUAAUUAUUUAUUUAUUUUGUCUGUCUAAUUCAGUUUACAUAGCUUUUUUUUUUUUUCCUUUCCAAAAAAAUCUGCAUAUCUUCAUCUGCAAUUUAAGUCAUUGGUAACUUCUUUCAGGGAGGAAGGAAAAAAAAAAAGCAUUUGUAAGUAUAUUUUACAGUACUGAUUUUCCUAAAAAAUUAGUUAAGGUGAGAUUAAUGUUCUUUGAAAUAGAUGGAUAUGCAGAAUCUUCAUCGAAAUUGAAAUUAGAAAUGGAUGGAUACGAGUGACUUAUAUUAAGAAUUUUUUAGUAGAAUGCUUAUAGAAAAAUUUGUAGCUCAUUACUCUCUAGAAGGAAAAUAAAUUUUAGAUUGUAAAUAUUAAAUAUUAAAAUUAUAAUAUAAUAAAUGUGUGACUUAAGGUGUACAAUACCCAUAUAAUAAUAAUUAAGAAAAGAAAAAUCAAAUUUUGUAAAUUACCAAUUUUCUCUUGAAAUUUGAUAUUCUAUAUUAACGUAGGUGUUGCAUGGAGUGGGCUAGUACAACUGAAAGAAACUAACUAAAGUAAAAAAAAAAAUAUCAGAAAAAUACGACGAGCUUCUCAUAUUUUUCAAGUAAAAAAAAAAACUAAAAUUAAUUAUUUUUAUAACCAAAUUCUAAUGCUUGAAGGUUGCUGGAAUUGACCAUUGUAAUUUUGUCAUCCUCGUUAUUCACUGGCCAUCGUAGCCUUCCUCCAUUAAAAUGAGAGUUGUUUUUCGGACCACGACGUAAUAAAAAUAAUAUCGAUUAAUACUAAUAAACCUAUUUUGAUUAUUUUGUAGUGUGAUGGUCUAGUAAGUAUCAGUACUUAUCCUAGCAUCCGAACAUGUGAUAAAAUUAUGCGAGUCUCUAUAAAAUACUAUUUAAAUUAUGUAUUAACUAGACAGUUCUAUGUAGAUAUUUCGUAUAUAUUUAUGAUAAUUGUUGAAAAAAAGAACGUAAAAUGAGAUUAAUGAACAUUCAUAAAUGUGGAAAUUAACACAACUAAGAUUUAUGAUGAAAUAAUUUUAUGUCAAAUGAGUGUAAGUGAAUGGAUGUUAAAAUAACUUGUAAUAUAUAUUUUUUGAACUGUUAUUUACACAAGUUUGCCACCAACAGUAAAUUAAAUUAUGAAUAUUUUAAUAAUUCAAGAUCUCAUUCGAUGUUUAUAGUAUUUUUCAGAGUACAAAAUUGUAAAUGGUCUCACCCUUCAUAGUAUAAUGCUAAACCUUUUAAAAAAUUUAUUCUAUUAUAGACGUAUUAGUUAGUUAUAUUAUAUUAUAGACAAAAUUGAAGCUAAAAAUAGUACUUCAUCUAUCAUACAUUACUUUAAUUUUUUUUUUAUCAAAUUAUGAGCUGGUGAAAGGAUGCAACAAAUUACGUCAAACAUUGUAAAAUUUAUCAAUCACUAAAUAAAUAUCAUGUUAUAUGUGUGUGUGUCUCUCUCUCUAUCUAUAUAUAUAUAUAUAUAUAUAUAUAUAUAUAUAUAUAUAUAUAUAUUACACAAAAUCUGAUUCUCAUGAACUAAAAAGACAGGCUUUGGAUGAUGUAUCAUACUCAUAAAUCUAUUUUUAUUAAUGAUUAUACAAACAUAUCUUUUUUUUUUUCUUUUUUUUUGUGUGUUGCUUUUGAUAGAAACAUAUGAUUCACCUCUGUUUCUCCGAUGCUUGCUUGCUUCAUGAUUGGUCAACUUGGGUCAAACUUUCGUCUUUAAAUCACAUAGGUAGAUCAUGAUUCAAGCUUCAGUUAUAAGCCUUUCAUUGUGACUGGUAUUAUUCUUUCUUGAUGUACAUAUAUAUAUAGAUUCAGUUUGAAUGUGGUCCUUGAUAGUUUCAUGGAAAAUGCAAACGAAAUGUCAGCAUCUUUGAGUUUUGUCUCAUCAUAUCCGUCUUGUUGGUCUACUAAUCAACCAACAGGCUCUGAAACUUGCUCUGAUCUUGAUAAUUUUAACUUAAGGAGGCAAAGCAGCAAUCCUGAAGAGCCAUGGCUUGACGCUGAGAUUGUCGUUGAGGGCAAAUCAGUGGCAGUUAAUCGCUGCAUAUUGUCUGCACACAGUCAAUUUCUUCAUUGGCUUUUUAAUUUGAGAAAUGAUGGUUCUGUGAGUGAGGGGAAACCCAAGUAUCUUAUGACUGAUUUGGUGCCUUAUGGGAAGGUUGGAUAUGAAGCGUUCAAUGAUAUCUUGCAUUAUCUUUACACUGGGAAGGUUAAGCCAUCUCCUCUAGUAGUGUCCACGUGUGUUGAAGAUGCUUGUGCUCAUGAUGCUUGCCCUCCUGCUGUCAAUUAUGCUAUUGAGUUGAUGUAUGCUUCUGCUGCUUUUCAGAUGAAGAACUCGUUUUGCUUUUGCAGGUAAUUGUGCUUCCCUGCUAUUUGUAUUGCUUAAAUUUAUGCUUCUUGGUAUAGUUUUAACAUUUAUGGAAUUGAAAUCAAUUUCAAUUGUGACUUGCAAAGAGCCAAAGCAAGUAAAUGUGAAGCAACUUCAGUGAUUCGCAAUAUUAGUCAUCGCAGGAGAUCCAAAAUUUGUAGAUACUGUAGAAUUGUAGAGCCCAAAACUUCAUCUUAUCUUGCAAGAGUUUGUUGUUUUAUUUUCAAAUAGACAAAAAAAAGAUGAUGAUGGGCAGCGAACUCUAGGGAUCAAUGCUUGCUGACACUGACACCCAAUGCUUGAUGUCUAGCUUGCUUAUUUUUCCAACAAUGACACUACCUUUCUAGUAAAUGAAAUAUUAUUCUACAUCUAUAUAUUGGAACUUUGACAAACUUCGCUUUUCCUUUGUUGAUUCACUGGUCUCACUUUUAUUCAAUUGCCCGAUUAUGAAAUGGUCUAUUGGAGACUAGCAUUGGAAGGUUUCUUGUGGAAAAAGUUUUACUUGACCACCGAUUUUCAUUUUGGUGGGUGUCAGCGCAUGCUCUGGCUUGACUAUUCUGUUAUUUAGGUUGUUUUAUCUGUAUCUUCUCACUCACUUGAUAGUUAGUUCUCUCAUGCUUCCAAGCUCAAAGAUGAAUGCAAGAGAUUCUCUUUUUCCCCUCUAGACUAUAACCUAUCAAAUCAUUAAUGCUAUAGAAUAACAUCUUGUGUAGGCGGGCUUAUGUGUCUGAACAUUGGUCCAUCGGCAUUUUCAAUAAGCAUGGCACUGAUUUUUCGUCUCAUUAUUAUUUUCCUGCCCAGAUUGUCCCCUUUACCCAGAUUGUCCCCUUUAAGUAACAUAUUGAAGGAGAGCAACAUUCUUAUAUAUGUUUUAUGAUGUUUACCAAUAAUUACCCACCACGCGGUAUUUGAAUUUUGAAUGUAUUAUUCUGACUCAAAACUCUAUCUGUCGGUGUAGCUUCGUCUUCUGAACUUUGUUGAGAAGGCUUUUGUGGAAGACGUAAUCCCAAUCCUUGUGGCUGCCUUGCAUUGCCACCUGAACCAGCUUCGUUCUCUCUGCAUCCACAGAGUUGUAAGGUCAAAUCUUGACAAUAUAUAUCUCGAGAAAGAGCUUCCUGAGGAAGUUUCAAGUGACAUCAAAUCACUUCGUUUCGAAUCUAACCAGGAGUCUGAAGCUAACAUAGCAGAAGUGGAUCCUCGAUAUGCAAAAAGAGUCAGAAGAAUCCACAAGGCACUGGACACUGAUGACAUUGAACUGUUGAAGCUUCUUCUGAAUGAAUCUGAUGUCACUUUAGAUGAUGCUUACGCUCUGCAGUAUGCUGCUGCCUAGUGCAACCCUAAGGUUUUAAAGGAAGUGCUCAAUAUGGGCUUGGCUGAUCUCAAUCUUAAGGAUGCAAGAGGACGUACGGUGCUUCAUGUGGCUGCAAGGCGUAAGGAGCCAGCAGUGCUGGUGACCCUGCUCAGCAAGGUAGGCAUGCGCAUCAGAAACUACAUUAGAUGGGCAAACAGCUUUAGCAGUCUGUCGGAGAAUGACAAGGCGAAAGGAUUAUAUUGAAGCUGCAAAGCAGGGGCAGGAAACUAACAAAGACCGGUUUUGCAUUGAUGUCCUUGAGAGAGAGAUGAGAAGGAACUCCGUGUCUGAGAACUUGGCAAUGUCAUCCGAGUUGAUGGAUGAUGAUUUCCAAAUGAAGCUGGACUAUCUGGAAAAUAGAGGUGAUAUUUCUUUACUGGUAUUAGUUCAUCACAUUCUCAGAGUUGGUGUGUCCCUUCAUCUUAGCAUGUCAAACACGCAUGGGCUCAUUGCUUGCAGCACACUGUUGGCCAGUCAUGUGAUUUGUUCCACUUUUUUGGGAUAGACAAUUGUGAAUCUGUAUGAUCUAGGCUUGGUGGUUUGCACUGAACUAGUUUUCGAUGAAUAAAUGUACAAGAUUUUGUCAUCAAAACUGUUUUAUUUCCAAAAGUAACGAGGUACAAAAAAAUUUAUGCCUCUCCUGGAUGAGUACCAUAACAGCUUCUUAAUAUGUUGCAGUGGCUUGUGCACGGCGUUUUUUUCCUUAUGAAGCUACAGUAGCUAUGGAUAAAGCAGGUGCAGAUACCUCCAAUUUUGACACUGGCCUUUCACUUUCGGCAUUAAAUCCGAAGGGGGUUGAUUUGAAUGAAACACCCUCUAUGCAAGCCAAGAGGCUCCAAUUAACGCUGCAAGCUCUGCUUAAAACAGGUAUUUGUAUAUUUUAUUAACUUUUGCACUUUUUUAUUUAGUGAUUAUCUUUAUAAUUAAAUAAUAUAUGUAUCCAGGUUUCUCCUUCCAUUUCAUUAGUAGACUGGAAUCUCUUUAUAGUGCUCCGUUAGUGUAGUGAGAUGUAUCAAAUUGAGAAAGCGGGCUUGUUAGUACAUUGAUAUCUCGACAGAAUGGUAGAACCUUUCUUUACAUCACUAAAGACAUUUGUUGUAGUGAUGCCUACAUAAUCAGUGUCCUUUAAAACUUUCAAGGAGUUAGCAACGCCUGACCCUUUAAACACGAAAUCUCACGGGAUCAACUUUGUACCUCUGGACCUAAGGUGUGACACCCAGCCCCAAUUGGUGCUUAAAACACAUCUGAAUUUGAGCGAAACUAAAUGCUUGAAAAUCAAAUCUCCAAAAUAUCAAAAGAUCAUCUACUUUAUCUUUUCCUGCAUUUCACAAAAUUUUUAAAAAUUCACUCUCAAUCAUAAACUUUGCGCAGGUAAAUAAUAAUCAUAUCAGUAUACAACAAUACUUCCUCCCAAGCAAAUAAAUCUUACAAUUCUUCUUACAUGAUUUUUUUUUUAAAAAAAAAAAAAACUUCUAGAAGUCUUCUAAAUACAAACAUAAACAUAAUUCAACUGCUAAAACUACGCCAAAAUACAAGCUUCAAUCAGUAAUACAUACAGUGAUUAAAAACAUCUAGCCAGAAAAUUUAUGAAAGCUCAAUCUUUCUGAACCUUGUCUCCAAAAAUCCUUCAAAUUAAUAAUCGCUACUAUCUGUGAAAAGUAAUCGACAAAGGGUCAGUUGUUAACUCAAUUAGUAGAACCAUUCAUAAUGAACAAAAAGAAUUCUUUGUGCAAUAUUUUCAGAAGAUUCAUUUAACAUUUCAAAUGAAACAGAGUAAUUUUUCAAACGCAGUCAAGAUUUGUACAAAACAAAAGCGUUUCAGACAGAAGCUUUUUGGAACAUAAAUUUUGCUUUUAACAAAAAGUUAAACAUUAGUUGAUUUUAGAGGGAGGUUAUUGGCAAGUUAAAUUAGGCACUUGUGGUAACGGGUAAUAGCAAUUAUAAAAUCUCUUUUAAAACAAAUUCAAAUCGAGUUUCAAAGUUAGGAAGUACUUAAAUCAAAAAGGUAAAGAAUAAAUAAACUUUUCAUUGAAACAAAACUAUGUAAAUUCAUUUGAAAAAAAACAGGAUGCAAGCAUUACAAACGGGUUCUUGACCACACCGUGUGCAGUCAGAUCUCUGGGACCUUGUUAUUUAGAGACAAGACUUGAUUGUGCCAUGUUUUCCGCAGCCAGAUAUCUUUUACUUCAUUAUUUCCAAUAUGCCUAUUGAGAAUAAAUUCUGUAAACCAAGACUCUCUUAAGUUCUUUCAUCUUUGGCUAAUUAGUUAUAAAAUUUGUGAAUUUCAUGCUUCAUGGCCCUUGCAAAAUGUAUUUUAUAUCCUUAAGAUGCCAACGGUUGAAUUGAAAUAUUAAAAACUGAAAAAUAGAAUUAAUGCCGAUGGCAUUUCUUCAGAAAAGCAUGGGAUGUUUAGAAUUUUCUUAGAGCAUUUGCUGAACUUUCUGUGAUCGCACUCGAGAUGGGUUGGCGCUACUUCCCUCAUUGCUCACAGGUGGUUGAUAAGUUUUUAGAUUUAGAUUGUGAUUGGUCCGAUCUAUCGGAUGCUCUGAAAGAGCAGAAACUCAGCAGGCCAAGCUUCAUGAGACUUAAAGAAGAAAUGCAGGAGGCAUUCUUCAAGGACGUAGCUUAUGACCAUCGUUCAGGGCUGCCAUUAUCCACGUCAGCAUUUUACGAGGCUGGGAACAAUCUUUCAGGUAUGCCGACAUCCUCGGCAUCGAGUAAUUAAGCAUCACCUUUUCCUAAAAGUUAUACUUGCUACCUGGGAAACUAAAAGAGUUUAGUGAGCUCGAUUGGUACUUGUAGAGAUACCCAGAGCCUAUGUUAUGGCUAUGUAUUGUCUAGUAGCAGAGAAAUUUUAAUGAAUGAUGGAUGAUUUUCUUGUGACUCUUUUGGUAACAAUCAUGUAACGAUUUCAGUAACAUUAUCGCAAUUUUCUUUUUCUUCAAGUAAUCUGGCAUUUGUCAAUUAGAUUGUAGAAUUUAUUGUAUUGUCUCAAGUCCAGUGAGACACACGAACGUAUAACAUUUAUGGAAUGGAUCACAUUAUCAUGAACUCGUUUCAUAGAAUAUUUCUAAAUAGAAUUGUAUAAUUUACGGGAUAUGCUUAAAAAAUUGGGAAAAAAAAUUGUAUUACAAUUGGUGUGAGGCACGCAUGUGCAGUCGCAUCAGUUGCUGAACAAACUUUGCCUUUCAAUUUUGUAGACAUUGGGUGCGUUUGGGGCACGGGGCAGCUGCUCCCCACCCUAUAUUCUGGGGAAUAUUCUCCCAGAAUAAAAGGUGGGACCACAGCGCAGCUGCUCCAAACGCAACCAUCACCGUCUUAAAUUUUUUAUUACCAUAAAUGAGAUUAAGGUAAUUUAAAAAAAAAAAAAAAACUGGAGAUUUCUUUUAUUUUUCCUUUAAAAAUGAAGAAAAAUUUAGAAGGUAUUGAGAGACGGAGAAUUAAAGCAAUUUUAUUCACAAAUGUAAUGUGUUUGGUGCAGCAAUACAAACUAAUAAAUUAUAAUUUAUGAGAUUAGCUUACAGAAUCAUACAUAUAAAAUUAUAUUCUCUGAGUAAAAAUCUUCUCACCUCUUUUGACUUCUCAUUUAUAUGCCCUCUCUAAAAUCUCCCCAGCGAUAAACACAUUUUUAUAAAACAAAACAGAAAAAAUUAUAUAUAAUUGUCACAAGGACUAUUUGCACAUAGUACACAAUUGACCACUAAAGUUAUUUGGACUAUUUAUUCAUUUAUCAUGAAUUUUAGAUACUCAUUUAACUUGUUUGGCCAUGUAUUCACUUGAUCGUUACAUUCAGCUGCCAUUUUCAUGGUGGGUUUGUAAGAUAGUCUCUGACUAACAUAUGGCCAGAGUAUAUAUAUAUAUUGUUCUAAAUUUUAAGAAGAACUAAUUAAAAUCAUUUGCCUAAAUCCCUAAACAUGAUUAUAUAUAUAUAUAUAUAUAUUAGUUAUUUAUUAUUUAUUGAAAAUUAAUUCUUUAAACACUCGAAAAUGUAAAAUAUUAAAUAAAACUCUAUUCUACUAUUGCUAAUCCAUGAAAUUUUAAUUCAAUUAUAAAAUUUUCACUUAUUAUUUUUCUAACUCAAUUUACAUCCUUUUUAUUACUCCUUUUCUAGAUUACAUUAAUUUUCUUAUUCUCCUAUUUUCUAAAGUUUUUCAAUAUAGUUUUACUUCAAAAUAGAAAAAACAAGCACACACACAAAAAAAAAAAAGUAGAUGAAUAAAAGAAUAUAUUAAAAAGAAAUAAGAACAAAUAGAUAACACAAUUAACUAAGAGAAUAAUAAAAAGGUAAAACCUGAAAUUUGAGAUGAAAUCAUCAAUUAACUUUAUCUUUAUAUUAAUUGUUUGAGGAUUUGAGUAAUGACCAAUAGUCACAAAGAAUAGAGAAAACUAUUAGAUUUUUCCUUUUUCUUCUUGAGUAGAAAGUAGAGGAAGUGGGACUUUUUUUUCUUCUCUCUUUCUUUCUCUCAAACACUAAGAACAUAUUGUGUCUUGAUUAUUGGAGAAAAAAUUUAAUGGAUAAGUAAUAAAAUGUGGGGCUUUUAUAGAGGUUUAAAAUGAAUAUAAAACUUUUUAAUUAUAACAUAUUAAUUCUAACAAUGAAAUAGAGAAUUUGGAGUAUUGAAACUAUUAAUUUUUAUUAGUUUCGUAUGAAUUAAAACUACUAAUUACUACAUUAAAUAAAUUUUAUAAGAAUUUGAUAGUUUAUUUAGGAAAACAUAAUUACAAAAUAAUAAGAAAUUAAAUGAAUAAUAAUGAAUUUUAAAUUCACUUUCUUCUUUUGUGUUCAAAGUAAUCAUCUCAUGGGGCCUUCAUGUAAAAUGGAGCCCUAGACAGCCGUCUAAUUUGUCUAGAGGUCGAGCCGCUACUGCAUAUGGCAUUGAUUAUGAAUGAUGGUUUUGUGAAAUAUAUCAUACAGACGUUAACUUGUAUUAAUAUGUACUUACUUCAUUUAAAAGAUUAGUGUUUUUCUGCCCCUUUUCACAUUUUAUAGGUGAAAGGAAGAAACAUAAUAUCGCAGGACUAGAACAAAGGAGCUUAUUGUGGUACCUAUUGUCCAAGGAAGCUUCUGUAUAGUCGGUAGGCACUACCAUGGAAGUCAAAUCUUACCAGAGCCAGGCGGAGUCGUUGCUGAAGGAAUCUAUAUUAGCAGAUCCAUUUGUCCCGUACACUUCAAUUUUUGAUAGCAUUUUUGCUUGCAAGAUGGUAUGUUUUUCAUCGUUAUUGCACGGUGAUAUUUACAAGAAAAUAUGUUGAAUGCGUAGUUUUUAUUUAAUUAGUUAUAAAAAUUUUAUACCCUCUGUUUUCCAUAAGAAUGUGUUCCUUUUCAGGUCUAUGAUCUUGCCAAAUUGAUUAGUGCUGUUCACUUUAAAUGUUGUUCCAGUUUCUCCAACAUACAGCGGGUCGAGUGAAGUAACAGGUGAUUGAAUAUUUUCAUUUAGUUCAAUUGUCAUUUCUUUUUGAAUCGGUAAAGUUUAAUCAUUUUUCUUAAAUCGACAACUUAUGCAGGGCCAUAUCAACCGUCCAUGCCAUUUUUGUUACAGCUAUGUCUUUGUACUUUGUGUUUUGGUCGGAUCUCAGAGUUUGUGCGUAGCACACUUGUUUCUAUUGUUUGAUUGUCCCUUCAUAGACAUUUCGAUAAACUGUUAUUUUUGUUCUUUGGAAGUGAAUAUUUUCCGCAACUAGAACUCCGAAGCAUCUGGAAUGAUCCAUUUUAUGAUUCUUAAUACCUAUAAAAGAAUGUCAUAGAAAACAGUUUCCAAAGGAAGUUGCAUGUGGUUUGAAUUUGUCUUUGGAAGCCACUAAUUGCUUGGAGCACACUGUUAGCCAGUCGUGAUUCCAUCCACUUUUUUGGAUAGACAAUUGUGCAUCCAUCUGAUAUGGUCUAAACUAGUUUUUAAUAAAUAAUUGCCCAAGGAUUUAGUCUGAGUGUUACAGCCCAGUCUUUGUUGUCAAUACUCUUUCCCCCGUCGUGGAUGAGCGCCAUAACAGAUUCUUAAUGUUUUGCAGUGGCUUUUGCACGGUUGUUUUUUUCCUUCUGAAGCUAGAGUAGCUAUGGAUAGAGCAGAUGCAGAAGCCACCAAUUUUUAUACUGGCCUUUCAGCAUCAAAAUCAAAAGGAUCAAGUGGGAACUUAAAGGAGGUUUAUUUGAAUGAAACACCCUCUAUGCAAGCCAAGAGACUCCAAUUAAGACUGCAAGCUCUGCUUAAAACAGGUAUUUAUCUCAACAAAAUAUUAGAACCUUUGCACCACUAGAGACAUUUUCUUAGAGCAUUUACUGGACUUUCUAUGAUUGCAGUAGAGACGGGUCGACGCUCUACCGCAAUCCAUCUCUCUAUUUAUUUUUUGUUUGGAAAUGUAACAAUUUAUAGCUGGCAAAGUAAUAGAGUUGUAUACUUGUAUUUAAUUUAUUAUUAUUAUUAUUAUUUUAAUGACUCGGUAAUGUCAUUGUCCAUGGUGUUUUGUCAUUUCGAAAGUACUUUACCCCUUUGACGCUAAGGCACAUUACAGCAGCCGAAAUUUUGAGCUUUCAGUUCUUGAUUUUAGCGUGAGGGGUAUCUUUGUCUUUUCAGUAGUCAACACACGGUCGACAAAACAUUCUACAAACAAUCGGGGGGGAAAUCGGAGAUACGCUGAUACUUUCUAUCAAAAUGGAGAUACGCCAAACCUCAGGGGAGGAAACUGGAAAUUACCCCUUCGCGACCUGUGAACUUGGGUCAAAACUUUCAUCUUCAAACCUAAUAGGUAGAUCGCGAUUCAAGCUUCAGUUAUAAGCCUUUCAUUGUGAUUGAUAUUAUUCUUUCUUGAUAUAUAUAUAUAUAUAUAUAGAUUAAGUUUGAAUAUGGUUCUUGAUGGUAUCAUGGAAAAUGCGAACGCAAAGUCAGCAUCUUUGAGUUUUGUCUCAUCAUAUCAAACUUGUUGGUCCACUAAUCAAUCAACAGGCACUUGUGAUCUUGAUAAUUUGAACUUAAGGAUGCAACGCAGCAAUCCCAAAGAGACAUGGCUUGAAGCUGAGAUUGUUGUUGAGGGCAAAUCAGUGGCGGUUAAUCGCAGCAUAUUGUCUGAGCGCAGUCAAUUUUUUCGUCGGCUUUUUAAUUUGAGAAAUGAUGGGAAACCCAGGUAUCUUUUGACUGAUUUGGUGCCUCAUGGGAAGGUUGGAUAUGAAGCUUUCAAGGAUUCCUUGCAUUUUCUUUACACUGGAAUGAUUAAGGAAUCUCCUCCAGAAGUGUCCACGUGUGUUGAUGAUGCUUGUGCUCAUUUUGCUUGCCCUCCUGCUAUUAAUUAUGGUAUUGAGUUGAUGUAUGCUUCCGCUGCUUUUCAGAUGAAAGAACUCGUUGUUCUUUCGGAGGUAAUUGUGCUUCCCUGCUAUUUGUAUUGCUUAAAUUUAUGCUUCUUGGUAUAGUUUUAACAUAUAUGGGAUUGAAAUCAAUUUCAGUUGUGAAGCAACUUCGGUGGUUCCCAAUAUUAGGCAUUGUAGUAGAUCCAAAACUAGCUUAUUAAAAAGUGUAGAUACCGUAGAGCCCAAAACUUCGUCUUAUCUUGCAAGAGUCUGUUGUUUUAUUUUGAAAGAGACAAAAGUGAUGAUGAUGGGCAGCGAACUCUAGGAAUCAAUGCUUGCUGACACUGACUCCCAAGAAUCAAUGAGUCUGAAUUUGAUAAGUGCACCUAUCCUAUCACAAAAGCUUUUGCGUUGAGUUUCUAACCAAGGAAAAUUGUCACUUCUGUCUGUAGGCUUCAUAGAUUUGUUCAAGCCUUCAAGGAUGUCUAGCUGUUACUUACCGUCCAACAAUGGUGCUACAUUUCUAGUGAAUGAUAUGUUAUUCUACAUCUGUAUAUUGCAACUUUGACAAACUUCGCCUUUCCUUUGUUGAUUCACUCAUCUCACUUUUAUUAAAUUGCCCGAUUAUGAAAUGGUCUAUUGGAGACUAGCGUUGGAAGGUUUCUUCUGGAAAAAAUUUUACUUGACCACCAAUUUUCAUUUGGGUGGGUGUCAGUUCAUGCUCUGGCUUGACUGUUCUGUUAUUUAGGUUGUUUUAUCCGUAUUUUCUCACUCACUUGAUAGUUAGUUCUCUCAUGCUUUCAAACUCAAAAGUGAAUGCGGAUGCGAGAGAUUCUCUUUUUUCCCGUACAGGCUAUAACCUAGCAAAUCAUUAAUGCUGUAGAAUAACAUCUUGUGUAGGUGAGCUUAUGUCUCUGAACAUUGGUCCAUCGGCAUUUAGGUUCGAUAAGCAUGGCACUGAUUUUCCCCCUCAUUAUUAUUUUCCUACACAGAUUAUCCCCGUUAAGUAUUUGAAUUUUGAAUAUAUUAUUCUGAAUCAAAACUCUAUCUGUCCGUGUAGCAUUUUGUAUAUGUUUUAUGAUGUUUACCAAUAAUUACCCACUAUGGGGUAUUUGAAUUUUGAAUAUAUUAUUUUGAAUCAAAACUCUGUCUGUCCGUGUAGUUUAGGCUUCGGGACAUGGUUGGGAAGGCUCCUGUGGAAGAUGUAAUCCCAAUUCUCGUGGCUGCCUUCCAUUGCCAACUGAACAUGCUCCAUUCUUACUGCAUCCAGAGAAUUGCAGGGUCAAAUCUUGACAAUCUUUGUCUCGAGAAAGAGCUUCCUGAUGAAGUUUCAAGAGAAAUCAAAUCACUCCGUGUCAAAUCCAACCAGGAGUCUGAAGCUAAUAUAGCAGAAGUGGAUCCUAUGCAUGCAAAAAUAGUCAGAAGAAUCCAAAAGGCGCUGGACUCUGAUGACGUUGAACUGUUGAAGCUUCUUCUGGAUGUAUCUAAUGUCACUCUGGAUGAUGCUUAUGCUCUGCACUAUGCUGCUGCCUACUGCAACCCUAAGGUUUUUAAGGAAGUGCUCAAUAUGGACUUGGCUGGUCUCAAUCUUAAGGAUGCAAGAGGUCGUACGGUGCUUCAUGUGGCUGCAAGGCGUAAUGAGCCAGAAGUGAUGGUGACUCUGCUGAGCAAGGGAGCAUGCGCGUCAGAAACUACAUCAGAUGGGCAAACAGCUGUAGCAAUCUGUCGGAGAAUGACAAGGCGAAAGGAUUAUAUUGAAGCUUCAAAGCAGGGGCAGGAAACUAACAAAGACCGGUUAUGCAUUGACGUCCUUGAGAGAGAGAUGAGAAGGAACUCCAUGUCUGAGAACUUGGCAAUGUCAUCAGAGGGGAUGGAUGAUGAUUUCCAAAGGGAGCUGGACUUUCUGGAAGAAAAAGGUAAUAUUUCUUUACGGGUAUUAGUUCAUCACCUUCUCAGAGUUUUUGCUAUGCACACUUCUUUGUACUGUUUGUUUGUCCCUUCAUAUGGAAAAUAGAGGUGAUAUUGCUUUACUGGUAUUAGUAAAUCAUCUUCUCAAGAGUUUGUGAGUCCCUUCAUUUUAGCAUCUCGAACACACAUGGGCUCACUGCUUGGGGCACACUGUUGGCCAGUCAUGUGAUUUGAUCCCCUUUUUUGGAAUAGAGAAUUCUGAAUCCAUCUGAUCUAGGCUUGGUGGUUUGCACUGAACUGGUUUUUGAUAAAUAAUUGUACAAGACUUUGUCAUCAAAACCUUUUUUUUUUUUGUUUUUUGUUUUUUGUUUUCCAAAGGUAAAGAGGUACAAAACAAUUUAUGCCUAUCCUGGAUGAGUGCCAUAACAGCUUCUUAAUAUUUUGCAGUGGCUUUUGUACGGUUUUUUCCUUCUGAAGCUAGAGUAGCUAUGAAAAUAGCAGGUGCGGAUACCGCCACUGGCCUUUCAGCAUUAGGUCAGAAAGGACUAAGUGGGAACUUAAAGGAGAUUGAUUUGAAUGAAACGCCCUCUAUGCAAGCCAAGAGACGCCAAUUGAGACUGCUAACUCUGCUUAAAACAGGUAUUUAUAUGCUUUAUUAACUUUUGCACCUUUCUAUUUACUGAUUAUCUUUAUAGUUAACUAAUACAUGUAUCCACGUUUCUCCUUCUAUUUCAUUUAAGGGAGGUUAUUGGGAAGUUAAAAUUGGCAGUUGUGGGAAAAGGGUAAUGGCAGUUAUAAAAUCUGUUUUAAAGCAAAUUCAAAUCAAGUUUCAAAUUUUAGGAGUACUUAAUUCAAUAAAAUAAGGAAUAAAUAAAGCUUUCAUUGAAACAAAACUAAGUAAAUUCAUUUAAAGCAAAAAAGGAUGCGAGCAUUACUAUGGGUUCUUAUGUUUACCCGCAGUCAGACAUCUGGGACCUUGUUAUUUGGAGACAAGACUUGAUUGUGCCAUGUUUUCCACAGCCAGAUAUCUUUUAGUUCAUUAUUUCGUAGACAUCUGUGGAUAAGAGAACCCUAAGGGUGCGUUUGGUACAUUGUAUUGUAUUAUGAUGUAUUGCAUUAUUUUAAUACUAAUGUAUUGUAUUAUGUUGUAUUGCAUUAGCACUGUAUUAUAAUAAUGCUAUACAAUGUUUGGUGUUACACUGUACUGUAUUAGAUUUUAAUUAUAUUAUAUUUAGUGUUACAAUUGUUGUAACAUAAACACGACCAAAAUAAAUUGUACUAAAUAAUCUAAGUAAGAGUUCUGUAGUAUAUGUAAUAAUACUAUUUAUAUUAUUAUUAUUAAUAAUUCUAAAUUAAUAUUAUUCAAUUUUAUUCAUAUUUAAAUAUGUAUUAUUAGUUUAUUAAAUUAUUUAAAAAUAAUUAAUUUAUAUAUAUUAAUUAUUGUAACUUAAUUAAAUAAUGUAAUGCUAUAUUAUAUUUUUAUAUACUAUUUAAGUAUUUAUUAUUAAUUAUAUUCAAUUAUAAAUUUAUUAAUAAAUUAUAAUGUAAAAAUAAAUAAAAAUAAAAAUUAAUAUGUAUAAUAUUAUAUUAAAUUAAAGUUUUAUUUUUAUUACUAUUAUUAUAAAGUAAAAAAAAAAAGGCAAGCUACUGACUUUUGAAACACAAAAGUCAGUAAUACAGCCUAGUCACGAGGGGGGGCACGGGUUUUGAUAAUGCGGCAAAAGCUGCAUUGUAAUGCUGCUCAAUGUAAUCCAUUUGAUCACCAAACACAGGUAUAUUUUAACUAAUGCUGGGCCCACAAGAUAAUACAAUGCAAUACCACAUGCCAAACAUACCCUAAGGGUGCGUUUGGCACACUGUAUUGUAUUAUGCUGUAUUGUAUUAUUUUAAUGCAGGUGUAUUGUAUUAUGCUGUAUUGCGUUAGCAUUGUAUUAUAACAAUGUUGUACAAUGUUUGGUGCUACAUUGUACUGUAUUAAUUUUUAAUUAAACUAUAUUUGGUGUUACAUUGUAUUGUAUUAAUUUUUAUGAUUAAUUAAAUUAAAUAAUUAAAAAUUAUAUUUAUUAAUACUUAGAAAAAUAAUAAAUAUAGAAAUCUUAAUUGUAGAAAUUUAACAAUUUUUUAGUAAAUAUUAAAAAUUAAUGAUUAAAUUUCUAAAAUUUGUAUUAUAAUUAUGAUAAAAUAAAUUUAUAAAAUUUAAUAUUAUAUGUAAAUAAUAAAUUUAGAUUAUAAUUAAUAUUAUAAUUGUUAAUAUAAAUUAAUAAAUUAUUAUUCAACAAUAUUAAAUUAUAUUUUAAUUUACAAUAUAUUAUUAUUUUUACAUUUUAAUAUAUUAAUAAAUUUAUAAUUUAAUAUAAAUAAUUAUAAAUAUUUAAAUUUGUAUAAAUUUAAAUAAUAUUAAUUUUAAAAUUAAUAUUAAUGUAAAUAAUAUUAUAAUAUUAAUAUAUUAUUUACAUUAAUCAUUAAUAAAUAAAAUAAUAUUAUCAUAUAAUUUAUUUUUAUAUUUUAUUCAUUAUAUUAGUAUUUAAUAAUAAAAUAAUUUAUUUUUAUAAUAUUUUAAUAAAAUAAAUUUGCCUCAAUUGAGGCAUUAACUGUUGCCUCAAUUGAGGCAAAAAACUUCCGCAUUACGCAAACCCGAGGUUCCCUCGGGUUUGCGUAAUGCGGCCCCAUGCCUCAUUAUGCUGCAUUAUAAUGCAGUAUAAUAAGGUCUCAAAUUUUACCAAACUUCUUUUUGGUAAUAAACUUCCCUCGGGUUUGCGUAAUGCGGCCCCAUGCCUCAUUAUGCUGCAUUAUAAUGCAGUAUAAUAAGGUCUCAAAUUUUACCAAACUUCUUUUUGGUAAUAAACUAAUGUGAAUAGUGGUAUAAUACCACACAAUCCCAUGCACCAAACACGCCCUUAAGCGUAUUGAGAAUAAAUUUCGUGAUCCAAGACUCUUCAGUUCUUUCAUUUGUGGCUAAUUAGUUAUAAAAUUUGUGAAUUUCAUUCCCCUUGCAAAAUGUAUUUUAUAUCCUUAAGAUGCCGGUUGUUGAACUGAAAUAAUAAAAAAUGGAAAACAUACUUAAUGCCGAUAGCAUUUCUUCAGAAAAACUUGGGAUGUUUAUAAGUUUCUUAGAGCAUUUGCUGAACUUUCUGUGAUCGCAGUCGAGACGGGUGAACGAUACUUCCCUCAUUGCUCAGAAUUGGUUGAUCGCUUUUUGCAUUGGCCCUAUGCUUCCACCCCAGAAAUGGACGAGGAGAAACUUAAAGUAUACGUGCAGGAGGCACUCCGCAAGGACGUGGCUCACCACCGUUGUUUAGGGCUGCCAUCAUCCUGGCCGGCAUUUUACAAGUACAUGGCUGAGAGCAAUCAGUUGGCAUUUUACAAGUACGUGGCUGAGAGCAAUCGUUCAGGAAUGCCGACGUCCACGGCAUCGAGCAAUUAAGCAUCACCUUUCCCUAAAAGUUAUAUUUGACACCUGGAAAACUAAAGGAGUUGAGUGAGCUCUACUCGAUUGGUAUUUGUAGUUUCUUUUUUUUUCCUCAAGUUGAUCUGGCAUAAUUAAAAGUUAUAUUUGUUUGUCUUAAAAGUUAUUGUAUUGUCUCAAGUCCGGUAAGAUGCGCGAACGUAUAGCAUGGAUCACAAACUCAUUUCAUAGAAUAUUUUUUUGUAUAAUUAUAUAAUGUAUAGGCUUUGCUUAAAAAAAUUAAAAAAGAAAAAAAGAAUUGUAUUACAAUUGGUAUGAGGCAUGCAUGUGUGUGUCAUAUCAGUUACUGAACAAACUUUGCCUUUUAGUUUUGUAGGCACUACUAUCUCAAAUUCUCUGUUAUCAUGAAUGAGUAUUUUUUUUAUUUUUUCUUUUUUCUUUUUUAACAAAUCAUAAAUGAGAUUAAGAUAAUCUUUUUUUAAAAAAGAAAAAAAUGGAGAUUUCUUUUAUUUUUCCUUAAAAAACUGAAGAAAAAUUUAGAAGGUGGUGAGAGACGGAGAAUUAAAGCAAUUUUAUUCACAAAUGUAAUGUGUUUGGUGCAGCAAUACAAACUAAUAAAUUUUAAUUUAUGAGACUAGUUUAUAGAAUCUUAUAUAUAAAAUUAUAUCCUCUGAAUAAAAAUCUUCUCACCUCUUUUGACUUCUCAUCUAGUGUACAAAAUCUUAUAUAUAUAACACAUUUUUACAAAAUAAAACAGAAGAAAUUAUAUAUAAUUGUCACAAGGACUAUUUCAUUUGCACAUAAUACGCAAUUGGUCACUAAAGUUAUUUGAGGAGAAAAUUUACAUGAGAUGGGUACAUCCUAUUAUCAGUAUUUUAGUUUAAAUUUGAACAUACCAGAACGGUCUCUCAUAAAUUUUAGGGAAAUUUAUGAAAAUAACCAUAAAUAUUUUGUUAUUUUCACAACUAACCCUCUCAACUUUUUUCUAUCAACAUUAGCCAAACACAAGCCUUUCUUCCCAAAUUACCCUUCUUUACAGACCAAAAGCAACAAUCUUUCUCCCAUAUCGUCAAACCAAACGCAGCUUUCCACUCUUGAAUCAUCAACCAACGGCGACGGCAAAAGACAACGGUAAAAGUGAAAUCCGAUCAUAAUCUAUCCGAAUCCAACACUAAUCGGCAUCACUUAGUGGUAUGAGUUAUUUUCUGAACUUGCUGAACUAAGUCGUGGCUGAAUCUGAGUCGUGGCUGAAUCUGGCGACAGGCUGCCUGUCGCACCUUGCUUGGUGCAACAGGCACCUGUCGCACCUUGAGAUUCAUUAAAACUGUAUUAAUUUGAUCCGGAUCUAAAUAAUUUUUUUUUUUAUAAUUUAAGGCUUAAUGGAUUCAGUUGUACUUGAAUUGUGUUACGAUGGUUGGUGGGAGACAUUAGAGGAUGGCCGUAUGGACUAUGUGAAUGGUAAAAAUCCAGCUUUUUUGGUUGGGAAAAAUUGUCUGUUUGAUCAGUUAUUGGCAAGAGUAUACGAGGUGUUACAAAUAAACCCUAAUGAAUAUAGUAUCACAAUGAAGACAACUUUGAGGUCUAGUAACACAUUAUAUCGUAUAUGUGCACUGCCCAUGGAUAUAUUUGAUGAUGAAAUGGUGAGGGUUGUGUUGCAUAUGGCAUCGACGUAGCCAAUUUUGGAUGCAUUCUUAUAUUCGUGACCACAUCACCUCGAGUUCCGAGUGAAGGUAUUGAGCCACAUGUCGAUACAGAAACUUCGUUUAGAGCAAAUAUGUAUGGCCCCGAUAAUGAUGAAGAGGUGUUGCCAAGGACAAUAUCGUUGCAGCAAUAUUACUCUCCAAUCCACGACAAUUAUGACAACAUUGAUGAUAACGGCGUUACGUUAGAGGAUGUUGGAGCAACGGUAUUCUUCGUAUCACAACAAUGAUUUUCGGGAUAAUGAUGAUUUUCAUCAUGAGACAGAGGGGGAUAAUGUUUGUGCAGAACCUUCUAAUAAUACGAGGGGCACUCAUUUCAAUAAUGAUGGUGAUGAUGGAGGAGCCGGUCCUUCGAAUGUUCCGUCGUUUCAGCACAACGAUGAGUGUGAAGACAAUACUCCUGUGAAUAAUAGAGGCAAUAGACCUAGUCCUUCUAUGGUUCGAUCGAGAAGGCGAAUUGACCCCCUUACAAGUCUUGCUCCAACUUUGCCUUCGAACAUGGUUGCUCCAAGCUUUGUUAGCAGUUGUGAUUCAGAUGAUAUCAGUAUGGGUAAGCUAUUUGCUGAGAAGAAUGAGUUUAUAUUACAACUACGCAAGGUUGUCUUUAGAGAUAAGUUUGAUUUCAAGAUUGCACGGUCUACUACGACACGUUUCGAGGCUCACUGUUGUUCAGAAUCAUGUAAAUGGCGUAUUCGAGCAACUAAAUGUUCGAACGAGCAAAAUAUUCCUUGGGUGGUAAAGAGAAUUGACAAUGUACACACUUGUCAUAAUGAGGUAUUGGUUGAUGGACGUCAUCAAGUAAGGAGCCGGGUUGUCGGUCAUAUUAUCGCAGAAAAAUAUAUUUAAGACAAGAGGAUUUAUACUCCGAAUGACAUAAGAGCAGAUAUGCAACAAGAAUACGGUGUUCAGUUAACAUACCAGCAGACAUAUCGGGCGAGAGAAGUUGGUCUUGAAAUAGUUCGAGGCAACCCUGCAGAGUCAUACAACUUCCUCCCUAAAUACUCUCACGUACUAACUACAGCGAAUGAGGGUACAGUCACUCACCUCGAGCAAGAUGGAGAUGGUAAUUUUUUGUACUAUUUUGUAGCACUCGGAUCUUCCAUCAAGGGUUUUAUGCAGUACAUUCGGCCUGUCAUUGCUGUAGAUGGUACUCAUCUGAAGGGACUAUAUCGUGGAAGCAUGUUCGUGGCAACAUGUCUUGAUGGUAACAAUCAAUUGUAUCCGUUAGCCAUUGGGAUCAUGGAUUCAGAAAACAAUGAUGCUUGGGAAUGGUUUAUGAUGAAGUUACACGGUGUGAUUGGCGAUAGACCUGAGUUGGUAAUUAUCUCUGAUCGAUGCACUGCCAUAAGGUGAGCCGUUCUUAAAGUAUUUCAUAAUGCAACUCAUGGCGUUUGUUUUUACCACGUCAAAGGUAACAUUAAGUCACAGUUUAGAAUGUCCAAAGCUCUUUGGGAUGAAUUUGAGACUACCUUUAUUAAUGCAACAAAAGCAUAUGGCCACGAGGAAUUUAAGAGACAACUUGAAGGGUUGUGGAUGAUCCACUUGGGUGCGGCUGAUUACCUAGAAAAUAAUGUCGGUACGUGUAAUUGGGCAAGGUCUCAGUUUGAAGGUAGGAGGUACAGCAUACUUACCACCAACAUCGCGGAAAGUGUUAAUUUUUUCAUGCGGGAACCUCGAAAAUUUCAUGUUACUCAUCUUGUUGAUCACUUUAGGAAAACAAUGCAGCAAUGGUUUUAUGAUAGGAAAAUUGUAACUGAAUCAAUGACUACUCGGCUAACAACAUGGGCGGAUGAAAUAGUCACUGAGAUGAGAACUAUAGCUGAAAGAAUGAUAGUUCGGCCGGUGUCUCCGCAUCGAUUUCAAGUUAUAGGCGGUGGGCUUAAGGAAGGUUUGGUUGACUUGCAAAAGAGAACUUGCACCUGCAGAGUGUUUCAGCUUGAUCAGCUUAUAUGUGCUCAUGCAAUUGCGGCGUGUCUAACACACCGGGUGGAUUUUAUUAACCUUUGCUCGGACUUUUACACUACAGAAUCGUUGGCGAUGGCUUAUGCACAACCAGUAGAGCCAGUUGGUGAUGUGGCUGAUUGGGAAGUUCCAGAUGAAAUUCAGGAGAUGCAAGUAUACCCACCAGUUGAGGCACCACCACCUGGCCGUCGUAAAGAGCUCAGAAUACCCUCGGCUGGCGAGGACGUUAACCGGCAGACUGUAAGAUGCGGGCGGUGUCAUGAACUGGGCCAUAAUCGUAAGCGAUGUAAGAAUCUCAUUGCGUCGACUCGAAGUUAGUUGUUUUUGUGUUUCGUUGGUUAAAACUGUAAUUAUUUUUUGUGUAUUGUACACUUAUAUGUCAUAAAAAUUUAUUUUUAUUUUAAAUAUUAAAAUGUGAGCAUUAAAAUUAUAUAAACUUAAGUGCGCAAAUUAAAAUAAAAAUUCAAGUUUCAACAUUCAAAUUACUACAACGGUUUACAAUACAAUAUCGUCAUUAAAUAUGUCAACCGCAAUCUUCUUUCUAAAGUACUCGACAUGACUAGCGUUAAACUCCAAUCCAAGCCCGAACAUUAAAUACAUCGUAACCAUCAAUACAAAAACACCGUAAUCGCCAGUUCCGGGCUCUUGUUGUGGCGCGCUCUUAACUGCUAUAACUUUCCAGGGGUCUGCACUCCGCAACUCGAGUCGGAUGUUGUAGAAGCCAACAUAUUCCAACCAUCGAGGGAAUAUAACUUCAAGUGGCUUGAAUUUCAACUUGUACCUUUUGUCGUCGCGAAAUGUGAGUAAUGAGUCAUAAAUCUAGACUUUAUUUUUUCGAAAGUCAACUCGUGCUAGUACCCAAUGCUCGCCGUCCAAGUUAACAGGGAUGAGUAACUAUAUAUUAAAAUUGAAAAACAUGUUCGUUAUAUAUGAAAUUGAAAUACAACAAAAAAAGCGACAACUCAAAUAUUUUCAUUAUGGAGUAUGUGAAAUGCAAUAAAAUACAUACCAUAUCGACAUCCGUCAUUGAUUUGGACAUUGUGUGCUGUCGCCCACAAAGAUAAAUAUUCAAGCGGUCGUCGAAUACUAAUGAAUCGACCGAACAAUCCCCGUUAUUCCAUAACUGAUUCAAGAACACCUAGUACAUAGAUAACCAAGAAAUGCAUAAAUGAACAAAACUUAAAGGCAAUAAUUAAAAAAAAAUUAAAUAGUAUUUAUAAGUUUUGUCGGCACGUUACCCAAAAAAAUGUGUCAGUAUGUGUGACACGUUGGAGUAAGGCAUUUGGAUACUGUCGUUGUUUCUCGCUAAUCAAGCGGAGAUACUCGUGAAUAUGCUGUAGAGAAACAAAAAUAUUACGAUUUAAAAGAAAAAUUUUGGUGAAACAAAUCCACAACACAACAGUAUACAUAACUUCGAAAAUAUAAAUACCUCAUCGCCUAGCCAUCCCAUCGAAGAUGUACCCAAAAAGUAUUUGAAAGAAUGACCGCGGGUGCUGGACUCUCCGGCGGACUCUGCUAUCACCAGUGAACCAUCGAUCAAACUCAACAAACAGACUAGAGUCCUCCAAUCCUCUCAGUGGAUUUACAUCCACACUCGUACUCAUGUCAAUCGCAUGCGCCAUGAUUUGGGGUCGAGGUAAAGGCCGAACGUUCUGUCCUCGCCUGACCGGAGGAAUCAUGUAAGGACUGUUAUAAACAUACGACAGUAUGUACGCGCGGCCGAACUUACUAACGCCCGGAGGCACCUCAGUGAACAACUGCACGCUCUCCCCACUAACAUCCCCAUAGAAACUAUACAAUGACAUGGGCGUAGACAAAUUUUCAUUGCCCACGUCAGUAUACACUCCAUAGUCAUCCGGGGUCUGUCCGUUCGCCAAGAAUAACAUAUUAAAUAACUAUCAAAUUAAAAGUUAAACGAACAUAAUUAUUAAAUUUAAAUUUGCUCACCGCAUACGAGCGUGCAGUGGGAGAAUCCUUAUUUGGACGUUUAGAAAAUGUGUCGAUGAAGCCAACAACGGUUUCUUUAAAAUCUUUUAAUUCUGACUUUAUUUCAUACACGUUACGAUCAAUCUUAUCCAGCUGUCGUUGUAUGUAAUCAUUAAACUGCUUUGUCCUCGACUAUUACAAAAGAAAAAAUAUAACUUUAGAAUAACAAUAAAAAAUUAAUAAUUUAUAAAGGAAAAAUAUCGUAUAUUAUUUAUAACCUCAGAAUCCCGUGCGUCAUCAGAGUUGUCUGUUUGCUGCUGGUGGUCAUCAACAGCCACCUCAUCCUCAGAAGUGUCAUGACGUUGCUCUGGUAUUGGGUUUGGUAUGUCGUCAUGAUCGUCAUACUUGUCUGAUUGCCUUGUAACCGACGGCAUCGCGUUGAUUGAGAGUUGGUGCUGUAUAAAGUAUCAUUUAAAAUUAGUAAAUGAAAAGUCAAAAUUUUCGAUUAAAAAAUUUUUAGAACUUAGAGUAUACCGACCUUAUGAACCCAGUCUGGAAUGCUUGGCAAGUAAUCAUUCACAGAGAGCCAAUAUUUUCUGCUACUCUCCUUUGAAUUUGGCUCAAGAGUUUGUAAAAUGUCCCCCUGCCAUAAAUUCAAUUGAAAAUUUUAAGUAAGUAUACAUAACUUAAAUUUAGUAAAGUUAAAAAAAAAUACAUAUUACUUACAAGACGAGAUUCGUCGUUGAAGAACGAAUAAACCUCCGUAAAGUUGAUUUUCGAAGACGCCAUGGGCUUCCAUUGCAGAAUGCGGGGAAUCUUAUUCUUCGUUUUGACGACCCAUGUUGAUGGCAACCCUCCGAUUGCUUCGUAAAUCCAAGCCUACAACAACUAAAGUGAAAAAUCAAAUAAAACAACUAUCAAAUAUUUAAUACUAUAAAACUUAUUAAUAAAUAAAAAAAAACGCACUUGAACCCCAGACGUAAAGCUGUAAAGAUUGUAUUUUUCAAUGUUAUGAUCUGGAUUUUUCAACCGAGUCUUCUUAAAUUUCUCGUCUUUCUCGAACAGUGCAUUGUCAAGACUCUCAUAAAUCAUUUCCCACGACAAUAGACCCCAUGGACGCUUUCGGAAGUAUUGUAUAUCAUCAACUUGGUCAAGCCAAUCGAAAUUGAUUUGACAGUGAUUUUUUCUUGCAUUUAGUACUCUGUCCGCAAAAUAAAACAGCGCAAUCUUUAAUGCGUCCAUAUCGUCCAUUUCCUUAAAUACUGCAUCGAAUUGGUUCACAUUAAUCUUACGAUGCACACCACCAAAAUAAGUAUUCCGUAGCCUCUGCUCCAUUUCAUCAUUUUUUUUAUUGGUAUCAAUAGCAAAUGAAAGUCCAGUAACCAAGCACCAUUCGACAAUUGACAAACAAAUCAAAUGCUCACCAAUUUGAAACCAUAACUGAUCCUCACGGCUAUCUUCUUCAUGGGCCACUUGCCUCAGUAAAAGAUUGUGCAAAAUUACCCCACUAAAUGGAAAACUUCGACACUCCAAGAAAUGCCCAAAUAUAUCCUUUUUGAACAUACUCAAUUGCCGCUUUGUUAAUUUUUCCUCGAUGACUUUUACGACCGAAGAUAACUUACACAUGCUCGAAAUUCGACCAGGAAAGUGAUCGACAUAACGAAAAUACAUCUUGCCUACUUCGAUAUCCGGUGAUUUUGAUUUCGUCAUGUAUCUGUAAUAUUUAUAAAAUUAUUACAUUACAUUUACAGAAAAAAAAAUUGACUCGUAAAAAAAAAAGACACUCUAAUUUUUUGUGCGAGAGGCUUGUUGUCGCACCAGAUUUGGUGCGACAGCGGGGCGCGCAUGGGCGCGCGCACGCCCUGCCCCCCUCCCUCCCCACCCCCAAAAUUAUUGGUGCGAGAGGCUUGCUGUCGCACCAGAUUUGGUGUGACAGCGAGGCGCGCAUGGGCACGCUCUGCUGCCCAGCGAUGGGCGCUCGCGCACGCCCUGCCCCCCUCCCUCCCCACCCCCAAAAUUAAGCCACAACACUCCAAAAUCGAAAAACAAUACUCCCAAACACCACCAACCACCACAAACAUCACCACCACCACCAUUAUUCUCAAGCUAUAAUUAUUAUUAUUCUAAAAUCUCAUUUUAAAUUAAUGAAAAUAAGAAAAAUGACUAACCUAGGUUUUGUUGAAAGUUGUAGAUCGUAGAUCGGAUGCCGGUGAGAGAUGGAGCCGCCGCCGACGAGGGUUGAUGUCGCCGCCGAUGAUGGGAGUUGGAUCGGUUUGGGAGAGAUGAGUGAAAGGGAGUGUUGGGGGAGAGAUGAGGGAGGGAUAUUUUGGUCUCAAAAGUUGUUUUAUGACUAAUGUUUAUAGAAAUAUUUUGGGGGGGUUAAGAUGAAAAAAAUCAAAACUUUAAUAGUUAUUACUGCAAAUUUCCCUAAAUUUUUCUCCAAUUUGAGAGAUAGUGGGGAGUGGGGUUAAAGUGCAUCUACAUAGAAUUAAUUAUAAUUAAAUUUAUUUUUUAAAACUAUUUUAACUAGAAGUAGUAGUAAUUCUUUUUAUUAUUGUUAUUCUAAUUAUAUCAAAAUCUUGUGACUGGUGAUCAAAUUAAGUGGUUCAUUAAAAUUUUUUAGGUGACGUAUGGUACGGAGUUUUUAUAAAUCUAUAUAGAUAGUAAAAUAUUUAAUUUUGCUUGUCGUAAACUUUUAAUUUGCAUGGGUUAAAAAAGAAAAAAAGAAAAAAGAAAUUGACUUAUUAAUUAAUUAACAAUUAUAGAAAGACUAAAUACAAAAUUAUUAAAGUUGCGUGAGAAAGCUCUCGGGAAAAGGGGCUCCAGAUUUCCUUUCCCUGGCUUCGUGCGUCUCCUUUUGCCCUUUCGAGCACGAAUUCGAAUCCAUACUUAAUAAUGAAGAUAUAAUAUUAUUAUAAUACUAAUAAUUAACAUUAAAAUAUUAAAAAUAGGGAAAAAAAUCCAAAUUUUUACUGGUAUAAAACGCAGGGCCAAAACGAUAGCGAAACAUCAAAUUGUUUUUAUUUCAACCUUCGCGCAACUUCCGGUGACAUAUUUUUUCUCUGUUUCAGGUACAUACAUACCCAAAACUAAACUUUGCAUGUAUCAUUCUUGUAUUUUUGUUAUUCAUUCACACAUCCUUCUUUUCUUUUCUUUUCUCUUUUGCUGUAAUUUUUUAUGAAACACUCUGUUUCAGUUCUGUUUCUGGUUUUGUUUCAGUUUAAUAUUAUUGGUUCCGUUCGGUUCUACUCUGUUCUCUGUUGUAUGUAUAUAUGUAUGCAUUUUUGGCCUCGAAUUGCUUUGAUCACCGGUUUUGUUAUUCAUUUAUCGUGAAUUUUAGACACCCGUUAAACUUGUUUGGCCAUGUAUUCACUUGAUUGUUACAUUCAGCUGCCAUUUUCAUGGUGGGUUUGUAAGAUAGUCUCUGACUAACAUAUGGCAUUGAUUAUGAAUGAUGGUUUUGUGAGAUACAUCAUACAGACGUGAACUUGUAUUAACAUGUACUUGCUUCAUUUAAAAGAUUAUUGUUUUUCUGGCUUUUUUUUUUUUUUUUUUGAAAUGCCCCUUUGUUGCAUUUUAUAGGUGAAAGGAAAAAAACAUAAUAUCGCAGCACUAGAACAAAGGAGCCUAUUCUGGUACCUAUUGUCCAAGGAAGCUUCUGUAUAUUCGGUAGGCACUACCAUGGAAGUGAAAUCUUACCAGAGCCAGGCGGAGUCAUUGCUGAAGGAAUAUAUAUUAGCAGAUCCACUUGUCCCGUACACUUCAAUUGUUGGUAGCAUUUUUGCUUGCAAGAUGGUAUGUUUUUCAUCGUUACUGCAUGGUGGUAUUUACUAGAAAAUAUUUUGAAUGCAUAGUUUUUAUUUAAUUAGUUAUAAAUUUUUAUACCCUUUUUUUCCUUUUCAGGUGUAUGAUCUUGCCCAAUUGAUUAGUGCGGUUCACUUUAAAAGUUAUUCCAGUUUCUCCAACAUACAGCGGGUUGAGUGGAGUAACAGGUGAUUGAAUAUUUUCAUUUAGUUCAAUUGACAUUUCUUUUUCAAUCGGUAAAGUUUAAUCAUUUCUCUUAAAUUGACAACUUAUGCAGGGCCAUAUCAACCGUCCAUGCCAUUUUUAUUACAGCUAUGUCAUUGUACUUCGUGUUUUGGUCGGAUCUCUUUUUGGACAACCAACUUGCUAGCCUUAUUACAUUCCGUAGCUCAUUUCUGUCUACAUUCACGUUGGGGGUGAGUUCACCAUUUCCUGUUAGUUUUUACUUAAAUUACAAAUUUUACCAGGUUUUAUGUUCUGGAAUUCCCCUCUGUUAUCUUGCCCUGAGAAUAUAUAUAGGAUAUUGUCUUAUUUAAGCCUGAAUCUUCCCAGUAGUGGAAAGCAUAAAUAACAUUUUGAAAUUAUUUUAGCCAUCAAUGUAACAGCUGGCUAAUUUCUUCUAGCUUGUUUCUUAAAUCUAAGGUCAAUUUUCUUCGUGGUGUCAGACAUGCCAGUCAUGGUUUAUCUAGAUAUUUUAAUACAUGAUUUCAGUAUCAGGUAAAUAAGGAAUCCACAUCUAUUUUCUUUCCAGUAGGUGUUGAUAAAAAGGAAAAGUCAUAAUACUCUCCUUUUCAUUCCUUGUGAUCCCAUUUUACUUAGUAAUAUGAUUAGAAAUGAGUGGAAAUAGGUUGUCGAGGGCUGCAUGAUUAUGGCUUCUUUCGAUAGAAUCCUAAAUAUUUCCUAUUCAAGGGAAACUUUUUGCAAGGGAAAUUUUCUGAAGGAUGAUAAAUUUUUUUCUUUUCAAUUAGGUUCUGGGGGUUGUCUGUGGAAGAUGGCUUUUGUUUGUGUCUUUCUUUCUGCAACACUCCUUGAGUUUUGGCUGAAGAAUUCAUUCCAGUGGGAGUUACUGAGUAGAUUUGUUCAGUGAUUAUAUAUUUGGCAUCCAUUCUUAAGUUAGAAAGUAUUAUAGAAGCAAAAGAAGAUAGAUGCUGGAAUUAAUUUUUGAAUCAGCAUGCAGCCCAAUGAUAAAUUCACUGUUAGAUAUACCAACCACAUGGCAUAUUGUCUGUUUAUAUCUGUCUUAGUAAUUAAGAUCAUGUUGCAUAAUGUUUUCCUUUGGAGCACUAUUGUUCUUAUAUGGCAAGGCGGAACACCAAGGCAUUGGUUAAAUGUUGUGACCUUUGUGCUCUGACCAAGAGGUCAGAGAUUUUAUAUCCCCUUGGGUCACCAAACUAGGACCUAUUAUAUUCAACAGGCUUGACUACUAAAAUUGUGGGUCUGCAUACUAAAAUUGUGGGUCUGCAACGAGUUCUCAGUUCAAAUGCAUCCACUUACAAAGGGAUUUCUGUGCUUUAAAAAAAGUGAGAAGAUGAAGGAAAAGCAACAGAAAUGUGCUGUCACUUAGAAGUUGCUGCAAAGUGAUCUUCAGAUACUAUCUGUGUCAUGCCUGCUGAAUAUCGCCUGGAAAAAAGUAGGAAAUUAAAAAAUAAAAUAAAAUAAAAUUGCUCACGUCAUCUAUAUUACAUCCUAGCAUAUUCUAUCUAGUUGACAAGUUUUAGUCAUAAUGCCCAAGUGUAAUUUUGACAGGUUUCUGUUGGUUACUUUCUUGCGGACCUUGGAAUGAUAAUCUGGUUUUAUCCCGCCCUUGGUGGAAUGGAGUAUGUAAGUUGCUUCUUCUUUUGGAUCUGAAUAUACUCAAGCCAAAAUGUCUCUCUUUCAAUCUUUUUCCCUUUAAAUGGGGAAGAGUGAGUCGAGGAGGGGAAGGUAGCACAAUAAUCUCAACUAAAUUAACUUGAAAUUGGUCUGCCAAAUGGGGAUGUCAUCAAUCUUUCAGGUGAUUCAUCAUCUACUAUCAAUAGCAGCAACUGCUUGCGCUAUGUUGACUAGGGAGGCGCAGUUUUAUACAUACAUGGUGCUUAUCUCUGAGACUACCACCCCGGGGAUCAAUUUGAGAUGGUAAUUUCCCAUCAAUCAAUCAGCUGUUUCUGCACCUCUACAAUUUUAUCUUCUGUCUAAUGAAUAUGCCGGUUUUUUAGGUAUCUCGACAAAGCAGGAAUGAAGAGGUCCAGAGCCUAUCUCAUCAAUGGAAUUUUGAUGUUCUUGGCUUGGCUGGUAGGUGAAAUCAGUCGAUCUUUCAAAAUCUUUUUGAAUUUAUUUCCUUAUUCUUGUUCUUUCUAAAUGACUUAUGAAGUUCAGUCUUGCUAUUGAUAUAUAUCAUAACGCCAUUGUUAAAUACAUUUUAUUAAAAUAUUGUGUCAUGUGCAGGUUGUCAGAAUACUUUUCUUCAUGUACAUUUUUUACCACAUCUACUUGCACGUUGAUCAGGUAAUAGUAAUAUCCACAACAUGUUUUCUUACAAAUAUCAAGAAUGUGUGUAAAGUUGACUAGCAGCAUAUCAAAUAUUCAUAAAAGAUCUUGAAGCUGUCAUUGUUAAAUUUGGUUGCUACUUAUUUUGCACUGUAACUAGGACAGAGUGGCCGGCCCACUGUUUCAUGUUAUGGGCAUUUUGGACUUUUAGUCAUUUCAAUUAAUAAUGUUUGCUAUAAGUUUCACAAUGUACAAUGCAUUUUCCAUCACAUUCACAAGUGAAGGGAUUGUGAAUUUAAAUCUAGGCGGCGAUACAUCUACACUUAUAAGCCAAAGGGUUUCAAACCCAUCCCCACUGUUUGACAUGCUUCUUUUAUAUUGUUUCACUAGCAAAGAGAUUUCUUUCCUUUUUAGUGGCAUAUUGGCCUGGCCACUGCUUCAGUUCAUGACGUCAUACACUGAAAGGUCUCAUAUGCUUAUAUGUUACUGUAGGCUAAUUCUAUGUUGACAUUGUCAUGCAAAUAAAAUUACACUAGAAUGACGGUAAUAUCUCUUUACUAAUGCUACUGUGAAUUACAUCUUAUAAUUGGUGAAAAGGAAAUAAAUGAGGUGAAAAUAAUUCAAACCAACACUGAAUUGUUUGUUAGAAAGCUAUCCAGUCCAAAAAAAUAUGUUUUCAUUCUCAAUUCUGUGCUUAUACCUUUACUCUCUGUUUGUCCUAAUUGUGAUCUGUAAUAUAGAUUGCAGGUUUUGUCCUUUUAGGCGUAUUGUUAUCAAUUUGGCCAAGUUAGACUGACUCAUUAAUUAAACUUGUGCCUUAGGCAGAGUAAUUACCAUGAGAGAAACAUCAUCUCUCAGCCAACAUGAAUGCUAGUGUUAAAGUUCAACCUAAGAUCAACAUGCUAGAAGAGAACUUUUGUCAUUUAAUAUGCAGUCAAAAUAUCAUGUUAUCCUUCAGAUCUCAAGAUAAUUUCUGAUUUUUUUUUUUUUUUGGGGCAGCAGAAGCAUCUAAUUGUUUUGUAAUUGACCAGGUUAAGCAGUGUCGCACCUGUGUGCAGAUAUUGGUAUUCAGUGUUCCAGUAGUUUUAUUUAUCAUGAAUGCAGUGUGGUUUUCAAAGAUUGUCAAGGGAUUAGUGAAGACAUUAGCAAAGCAGCAGUAAAGGACAUGCAUGGAUUAGUGAAAUUAGAGAGCGCGCGGCAUUGCAUUGCAAAAGAGAGGCUGAAGGAUAUAUCGGAUAUUCAGUUGAGUAUUAAAUAGUUCAGCGAAUCAUCAUGUACAUGUGUAAUCGUGUUAUUUAUUUCAAUUGAAUAUGUUCGGGUAUGGUUUCAUGUAAAGUUUAAUCAUAAAUCAAGUGAAAGAAAGUAGCGGGAUGUAUACAUCUUUCGGAAAUGGAAUAUAAGAUGGAGAGGAUUGUGAUUGACUGGCAGGUUUUCUUGUUCAAGUCAUAAAUUUUUUACAUGCUUACUGGGUAAAGUGCAUUUCAUCACUUCAUUUGAACCUUUUUCAUUUUGAAUAGUGCUUGGUGUAAAGAAAGAUGAGAGAAAAAUGAGGGAAAUUUGUAUUCUCUCUCUUUAUCCACCCACUCUUUCUCUUCCUUUUUUUUUCUUUAUUUCUCUUAUCUUUCUCGACACCAAGCAUUUUUCAUUUUCCUUUUCUCAAUGGAGAUUCUCUCUCUCUCUCUCCCCCCAAACUAUUGAAAGUCCCCAUUUACUCUACAACAUCAGCAUCAGUUGCACCCUAAUCAUUAAAUCAAGAAAACAAAAAUGCUCUUAUUAUGUAUGCAAAUAAAUAUCAUCAUAAAAUAGCUCAUCAAGAAGUAACAUCCUAAAACAAUGAGCUUGGAAAAGGCACCGCGAUACUGCAAUUAUACAUACUAUAAAAGAAAGGAUACAAUCAUAUUUCUACGUUAUAUCUACAUAACAAAUUGGGAUCGUACAUAAUAUUUGCAAUAAGCAUAUGAGGAUUAAAAAAAAAUUAUGACAAUCUAAAUCUCCGAUUUCUAAGUCUAAUUAAUUUAAUUAAGGUUGAUUAUAUGGUAAGAUCCAAGUUUAGCUCGUCACUCGUCCCAAGAGAUUGAAACUCUUGAGUAUUAUUGCUAGCAAAAUUGUCAUCUAAUGAGCCGUCAGUUAAAGGCCAUGAUUCUCUUUCUUCUUCAUCUUUUGUCAUCAGAUUCAUCAUCAUUGAAGGAGUCGUAGUGAAGGAUAGUGAGAGCUCGCAAUUUUCAUUUAAGCCACCAACUUCUUCUGUAGACACUUUACCUUGCUGUAUGCUUGUUUGUGAAUCCUGCAAUGCAAAUUUAAGAUAAUAUUGUUGAAAGCCUUGUCACUAAACUACGGAACAACUUUUAGAUGGUAAGAUUGGCCCAGCCAUCAAAAUUAUAUCACAAAUCAAAAAUAUUAAAAUAAAAUACGUACCAACUUCUUCUUUUUUCUUUUUUUCUAUUUUAAGAUAUGGAUGAGCAAAACCCAAACUAAUUUUUUAGUUUCUAUGUUCGUUAAGAUUUGAAUAAGGGUAGUCGGCAAAAAUGGGAAAAAAAUAUUUAAAAACGGCACUAGAGCAAACUCCUGAAGACAAUGGAGAUUUUUGAGUUAAUAGAUAAGAUUGUGUUACACCACCAAAUAAUUUUUUUAGGUUGGAAAUCGGACUCCUAAAUUUGAGUUAGUGAUAUUAAAGCAGAUUUUGGUAGUGGAAUAGGACUGUGUUAGAUAGGAAAAGGGAUUCUUGAGUUGAUAAAUAAGAUAUGUUCACUCACCAAAAAGAUAGUCUUUGGAUUGCAUAUUUGAGCCUCAAGUCUCAAUAAACACUAAAAGUUUGAGCUCUUGUAAGAAACUGUUUUGAACUAAAUUUUGGUUGUCUUUUAUCCCAAAGAAUAUAACCAUUGGCUGACUAAUUGCAGUGGAAGUAAGAGGUUAAGGUUCUAAAUUAAGUUAAGGGGAUGUAUUUUUUAUUUUUGAAUGGUCACAGUCUAUAAAUAUAUCUAAUCUGUGAUCUACUAAAACUUUAGAACACACAUUCACAGUAGUUUACCAAGAUUAGGUUAUAAAUUACUUGAAUUUCUUAUUAGACCCCAUUAUGUCUAGUAAAAUAACCCAUAUUAAAUCUAUAAUAAUUCUCUUAAGCUCAUAAACUCAUAAAAUUUAACUUUAGGAAUUUUAAAAGCUUACAGUAACUCAUAUGGUUGGUUUUACUAUUAUUUAAUUUAACUCGCUAAAUCUUUUAAAAUAACCUUCAUAAUCUUAUAAACUUGAAAAAAAUUUAAUUUUUACAUUUUUAUUAUUAUGCAAUUUAACCUUCAGAUAAAUUAUUUUUCUAGAUCCAUCACCGGAAAGACCCCUAUAGAGGUUUGAACUGGUGCCAUCAAUAUUAUUGAGACUAAAAGCAUGCACCAGCCUAUCACUGAACUUGUAACCCAAUGAGCAAGGGGGAUGUACAUUUAAUUUGAGGGUAAACAGAAGUAUGAUGCAAGGCAACUAAAAAAACAAUUGUGCUUCACUCCAUGUUAUCUAGUAAAGGACAGAUUCGUAAAUUAACACCCAACAAGAAAAUAUAUUUAUGUUUUGUCUAUAAUCAACAAGGUCACGAGGGUUUGAGGUAGUAUAUGAAUCAAGAAUAACAUAAAAGAACUAAAAAAUUGAAAAAAAUAAAUAAAAUAUUCAAAGGCCCAUGAUAUGUUUAAUUAUUUGUCUUAUCUUUAUCAAUAAUAAGCACAUGCAAGAGAAUGUUACCUGGUGCUCAUCUUCACCAGCAGCUAGUUUUGCGUGUAUAAGCCCACUGCUUUCCUCAGAGAAGACUUGAUGUUUAACAUAAUUGCUCCUCUCAUAUUCCCAAUCUGCUGUGUAUUCAUUUUCCACUGGCCUGCAAAAUAUAAUGUGUGUGUGUGUGUGAGAGAGAGAGAGAGAGAGAGAUUGUGAUCUAAAUAUGAGUUAAUGUUAUAAAAGGCCGGAGAAAAAAGAAAAUUAAAAAUGACCAGAAAAUAGAAUAUGAUCAAUAAUUAUGUGCACCUAUGAGCCUGAGGGGAGCAAAUGGAUAAUACUCCAUGAUUGUUGCAUUGUGCUCUUUGCAUCUGCAAGUUCUUCAUGGUUAAGGUGAUAUCGCCAUUAUGAUUCUUCAAGUUUCUGUACAUCUAGUAAUUAAGCAAACAUAAAACUCAUGUAAAAAACAUAAAAAUCAUCCAGUAAAUAAUCAAUUUUAUAUAUAUAGUGAAUAUUCCGCAAUAUCUAUCUAUUUGAGAAUUUUAAUUAAUAUGCACUGUAAGCAAGACGCUGCAUGAUCUCUUUGCGGCCGCUUUAUUAUUUUUAUUUGUUUGUUCUUUUCUGUGGCAUGCAUUGCAAUAAUAAUUUUUUUUUAUUAAAUUAUUUGGUAUUCGAAAAUUAGAUUGAGUUCUAACUAAUUCAAAUUCGAGUCGGGUAUGACCAUUAGGAUAAUAAAAUUCUCCCAACAAGUAUUUUAGCAUAUCUGUAUUCUCAAGUCUCGAAUCGAGAAUAGUCCUAUUUCAGUUGAUCUAUGCAUUUGUUGGUUGAAAAUAAUCAUUUUAAUUGAUAAUGUUAUCUGUUUUCAGGAAAUCCUGGCCUUUAUUGCCUAAUAUUAUCAAACAAAGUCAAAUUGUCAUGCAUGUCAUCAUUUUAAGUGAAUAAUCCCCAUUUCUUGUUUAGUUGUUUAUUAUCAGCUCCCUGGAGAUCGGAGAAUUGAAUGGAUAGACAUAUGACCCAAUGAUUAUUUAUAUAUCAUCCAAUUUCUUUCUUUCUUUUCUUUGCAUUUUUUUUAAGGUAUUAAACUAUACGAAAAUACCUACGUCAUAGCUAUAGUUCAACAAAAUACCUAUGUCAUAGCUAGUUCAACAGAGAUGUAAAUAAUUAAAAAAGAAUCUUUUCUCACAAAGCAAAUCAGGGACUUGAACUCUUACCCACAUUUAUUACCAAUAAAAUAGAAAUGGUUUACUGGGUGAUUUCCAAUUUAUAUUGUUUAAAUGCAUAUAAUUAAUCAAAAUACAUUUGAUCAAUUAUUUUAAUUCAUUACCACCUAGUUUGGUUGAUUAUAACUACGAAGGGAAUAUACCAGACCCUAUAUACUCAUAUAUAUACACUUAAUUAAUCCUACAUGGUAUAUCCCUGGCUUGUACUACUCUUUUGAAAAGAUGUUUUAUUGAUCAUAAGUUGAUUACCAUUUCUAUCAUCUUUCAUCAAAUUGUUAUAAACACAAAUGAUUAGGAUAAUAUCAUAUACAUAUAAAAUCAAAAUAUGGUAGGUACUAAACCAUUACUUGCAACAAGGUGCCAAAUUAAUCCUACACAACUGAUGAUCCUUUUUUCAAACUAAUUAAUGCAAGCCACUGUUAAUUAUUUUAUCUUCACUAGGUUUUAGCUUUUGUUUAUUAGCACACAAUUUGUAGCUCUACUUUUAAAACAUCACAUGACACCUUUAGAUAAAGUCUACCCUAUAAUUAAUAUUUUAGCUGGUUCUUGACUGAAGCUGGCUUUUGAGAUGAACAUUGACUGAAGCUGGCUUUUGAGAUGAACAUAGAUUUUAUUAUUUUGAUGAAGAAUAUAUAUGAAUCUUUAACAUUUUCUGUCCCUAAUCAAGACAUAAAAAAUAAUAAUAACAUUAGAACAAAGAAAUGUUUACAUUGUCUAGAGCAAAAAUAAAUAAAUAAAACAAAAUAAAAGAAGUUGAUGAAAUGGUUUUAUCUUAAAUCAAUCAAUUUUUUUUUUCUUGUGUUAAAUAUGUAGAUUCUGAAACUUAAUUUACCUGAAGAUGACUUUUGAUAUGAGAAAGCUUCAGUCCUUUAACAUUCAUCAUAUGCAGAAUUCUCUUUGGUGAUGCUUCUGCAAAUCCGCAGCAUAAAAUUAGUCCAUGAAAAAGCAAUCAUAUAGAUUUAGGGUUACUGCAUGAUUCUGCAUGCGUAGCUAACAAGUAACAUAAAUCAUAUAAAAGUGCUUCCAAAUAAAAGCUCUUUACAUGUUGUUUAGCUUCCCAGAAUCACUUCUCGUUCUUUAGUUAUUUCAUUAUUACAAGUAGGUACAGAUCGAUCAAACAAUUGAUCGUCAAAUGAUUAACUUACUAUAUUUACCACCAAGGCGUUCAACUGCUUGAGAAAAGUGUUUAUGAAGCUCCGGCGUCCAUCGCAGACGUGGAAGCUCAGACUUGUUGUAUUGCCUUACUCCAGUUCUCUGAGAAUUUCUCAUUCUUGCUUUAGGGUUCAAGAGAGAAUCUGAAAAAAGCUUAUCUCAGCAUCACAAGAUAAAGGGUAGGCUUGCCUUUGAAUAAAUAUGAAAAUAAUGUAGGUUCAAAGCACAUAAACUAACACAUGUUUGGUCUAAGACCAUAGACUUUUGUAUGAGUAAAGUUUUUCAUUUCAAACAUGUUUUUUAUUUUUAUUCAAAAAAGAAUUCUUUUUUCCUUGUUUUGGCCUCAUUUUUGUCAUGAAAACAAAAGGUCAAUGGCUCGAGUGCGAAGAAAUACAUUUAAUCAUAAGUUUGAUUGAUUCUAUGAGUAAAACAAUUUUUUUUUUAAAAAAAAAAGACAAAUUAAAAUGAGAGCUAAUUGAAUAUGUUCGAUGACAUGAGUUUUUUUAAUAAAUUUUGAAAUAAGAUAGAAGAAAUGAUUAAUUUCAACGUUAAAAUAAGGGGUUUUUGAUAAUUUUCGCAUAAUGUAUUCUCUUCAAGAUCUGUAUAGUAGUAAAUUAAACAAGAAUUGAAUUUCAUUCUAUGAAUGGAAUGAUUAACAAUAUUAAGUCAUGCUUUUAAUUAUGUCAUUUGUUUUGUAGUCCUCAGUGUGCUGUAUUUAGAAAUCGACGUAGGGCACAAAUUAAAGAAAUUCGUAUUUGAUUUGUCUUUUAAUUGGGAGAGCGAUAUAAAUUGACAAUAAAAAUGAAAAAUUAAAAGGAUGCUUGUGUUGUGAGUAAAAGAGAACAAGUCAAGAAAAGGAGCUUGUCAAUAAUUGAUGCAAAAAAAGUAAAAUGGCGAUUGGUGAGUUCUAAAAAUGCUUUCAAAAGCAUGUCUCAGCUUAAUUAGCUUCAUAACAUGUUUAAUUAGUAAAAAUUUAAUUAUUAACACAAUGAUUAUGUUUCUUGAUAUAUAUAUAUAUGCACGCACGUUUAUAUAUAUAUAUAUAAACCUAGCUAGGACAAUAUGCAUGCAUUAUUUUAUUUGAUUUAUAUCCGCUUCUGUCCACGCCAAGUGGAUGAAGAGCCCCAAAAAUUGCAAAGCAAAGAAAACGCCAAGGGCAAGUAUAAAGUCAAGACGGGAAUAAAUAUAAAGAAACAAACUACAAAGGCAUUGCUAAGUUUCUUUCUUUUAGGCAAUUUCCAAUCACAUUCAUAUGUCAAUAAAAGACGGUGCCUACUUUUUUUGGACACAUUAAUUAAUUUAUUUGUUUAUCUGUACGUCUGUGUAUGCUGCCGUGUUCAACACUGCACUCCCCCCAAAAUUCAAUAUGCAGGAAAAAGGAAGCGAAUGCUUUACAGUUCUUCUUAAAUGAAGGAUUAAAUUCAAGCUGAUGAUGCAGAGUUUGAAUAUAUGUAAUCAUAUAUAUUACUAAUCCGUAUUGACCAUUGAUCACACCGUGAGGAAAGCACGUAGCAGAUUAAUUAGAAAUAUAAGCAUGCAAUAGACUAAUCAAAUACAGAAACGGCUCAACAUGCCUUAGCCGUAAAUCGCCUCUCUUCCCACCUAUACUGUGAGGGGAAUUCAAGUUCUCUCGUGUGACAUAUGAGAACUGAUUUUCUUCUAAAUAUUUGAAAAUAGAUUCAUGUUGUUCUACGCUCAGAUAACCGAACUGUGUUAUCAAAGAACAUUGAACAGAACUGUGUCAUAGGGUCAGAGCUAGGUAUGGGCCAACACUAACGGUAGUGGCCGGCGGAGCCACAUAGGGACCAGCAGGGCUGCAACACUUCCAGUCAUAUAUAUAUGAAGAGUAAGAUUGAGAUUAACUAAUUUUUUCCGCAUGCCAUAUCUGUAAAUACGUAAUCUAUGAAGAAGAACUUGAUUCUUUUGCGUGCAUAUGAUAUCUAGGGGUUAAUGACAUAUUUUAUUAAACACCAUGCAGAGUAUAUGUAUAUAUUUUUUAAAUUAGCUUCUGAUCUGUUUGCUUUUACGACCAAACAGUACUGUGUGUAAAAUGAACUGGGAAUAAUAAUUCUCAAACAAGCUUUACUUCAUUUGCUAGCUAGAUUUAGAAAAAUGAAAGAUGCAUAAGCUAUGAUUUAGGCUUUAUAUAUGCCGAAAAUAAUCUAAAUUAAUGUCUUCUCUUGUGGCUCAAAAUCCUACUGGCGGCUAUUGUGAAAUUAACAGAGGCAGCUCUAGUAAUAAAAUAAAAAGUUAGCGAUGUUAUUAAUUAUGAUAAGGGUUUGGUUAUGUUGGAGUUGAUCUAAGGUAGAAUACCUCUUCGUAACUACACGAUUAAAAUUCUAAUGAAUUUUUUAUUAUUUAUUAUUUUACGGGUGUGGUUGAGAUUCGCGGUCCACUAAAGAUCUACUCUAUCAUAACUAUAGCCUUAUGACAAAUGUAGCCCGGCAGCAGUGCCAAACGUGUUUCCUUUUCGGCUCGUCAUCUUUGUGAAUGUUGAUUUUCUUGGAAAUUUAUGAGAAUGUGUAGCAGGUUUCUUGAAAGAAUUGAUGAUGCCCAAAAAUUCAAAAUGAUAAGAACGAAAGUGAUAAAGUGCAUUGGCUCGCUUUUUCUCUCUGUGGAAAUUUAGGUGAGAUAUGGUUAGCAAUCUGACACAAAAUUAGUUAUCAUCAUCAUCAAUCUCUUUGACUUGAUAUGUUUCUACCAUUUACGGCUUAGCUAGCUACAUACAUAUAUAGCUGCGCAUCCAUCAUUAUUUCCAUUCCAGCUAAGCCAUGUGUAUAAUAAAUAUUAAGGUUUUUCCUAGAACGUUCUAGGGUAGUUUACAUCUAUAAAGAAGAUUACUUAUAUGUAUCCAUUAUAUAUACACAAAUUCUAAUGCAAUAUAAUUUAUCUUUUAUUAUAUUAAUUUUUUUUAAUCUUUUGAUUUAGUUUUAACCAUAUUAAAGUCAAAGAUUAUGAUAGGAGUAGGUAUUGAUUCGGUUCGAUUUGAAAAUUUUAAAAAGCCGAUUUGAGAAUUUCUAUUCGAUUCGGUUUUGGUAUCUAACCAUUCAGUUUUUUAUAACUAAAACUGAAAAAAAAAAAAAUCAAACCGAUUUGGUUCUGUUCUACCCUCCCCAUACGACACGUGGUAUUUCUUUAAUUUCAAAAUUAUUUUUUUAUUUUUUCAAUUCGGUUUUUGGAUUUAAAAUUUUGGACUAAAAACUAAACUAGAUUAUUCGAUUUUAUAUAUUUAGUUUUUUUCUAAGAAAAUACCUAACCGAACUAAAAAAAAAUCGAACCGAACCGAUAAUAUUUCGGAUCCGGUUCGGUUUUGUACACUCCUAGAUCCUUAGCUGUGAAAACAAUUCUAAAAGUAAAGUGAUUUAAUUAUAUGAGUAUGAAUAUGAGCCAAUAAAUUAAAGACAUCUAUCAAAUAUAAUGAAUGCAUGCAUGCAUGCAUGUUAGGCCGAAAAGGAAAAAGGAAACUAAAAAAUUCAAUGUGAUCAAUAAAGCAGAUGAGGUAUUCAUCCACUGACUUGUCUCCAACUAACCUAAAAAGCAAAUGAUUUGUGUCAUGUAAGUGUGAUAAGACUGAGCCAAGAAGGAAUGUUAAUUAACACGUGCUAGUGAUUAUUGAAGACUGGAUUAGUUGGUGCUCAUGGUAAAUUAAUUGAAGAUUUAUAUAUAUGACAGAUGGUGAUGCAUUCAUUGGUCAUUAAGGCAAGCAAAUAAAAUAGUUCUUCUUGUUAGCUUAUGAGUUUUUGAUUCGAUGGGCUCAAAUAAUCAAACUGAAUUUAUCUUUGAGGCUUGAGGUCAAAUGUGGGUCUAUGUCUAUGAUCAAUGGGUGGGAGUAGUCAGUAGUGUGCCCUUUCCCGUUCGACACGUGUGGAUUCAUUACUUAAGUAAAGGGAACACGUGCAAGCUUGGCUCCCAUUUUCUUUUCUAUUUUAUUUAAGCCCCUUUAACUAUUGUUUAUUUAUACUAUUGACAGAAAUAUCUUGAAUACUUUCACAUCGAUCCACAACGAAUUCAUAAACUCAUUAUUAUAAUCAAGGAAAUGCUUAUGUUACAUCAGCUGUAUGUUACAGCUGUAAAUUUUAAAUCCUCAAAAAAGUUAAUAAUUAUAGAAAAGUCAAUAUUUUUUAGAGUUUUAUUUUAAACCCCGGGCUGCACUGCAAGUACUUCAAUUUUUUUUUAAGUUUUUCAUUUAUAUUUAUAGCAAAUUUAGUACCAGGUUUCUAUUUUAUUUAAUUAAAUCUCUAACUUAUUUAAUCUUAUAUUUAUUGAAUUUUUAUUCAUUAUAUUAAUGGUUUCUUGCUUUAAUAUAUCAUGUUUUUCAAUGUUGAAGUCUUUUAUUAAUUGUUUAACUUCAUUAAAUUCUUUACUCAUUUGAUCUCCUAACUUUUCAAUUUGUUUUAUGUUUUCUUAAUUGAAAUUAUUAAUUUCUAAUAUUUCAUUUGCAUUUUCUAUAUCAUUUAUAGAUAAAUUUGAGUUUCCUAAUUUAUUUAAUAAAUAUAGUGAAAUUUAAUUUAUUUGAUUAUUUCCCCAUGUGUCUGAAUCAUUGAUUAGAUUAAAAAAAUUGAAAUCUUUCAUAAGAAAAUCCUCUUUGAGUAUAGCUAAAUUGUGGUAACUUAUUAGUUUCUAUAUUUUGUCAAAUUUUAGAGGUUCUGGUGAUUUAUUCAUUGUACCAUCUUUCUAGUAAUUUAUUAGAUUCAUAAGAUAUUUAUGACAUAUAAUAUCUCUUAUAAUUCACGAUGCUAAAUUUAGAUUACAAAAUAUAUAUAUAUAUAUAUAUAUAUAUAAACAAAAAAUAUAGUUUAUGUCUUAAGAGAGACAAGAAAUUAUAAAUGCAGAUGUAAAAUAUAUACAAAAUUUGUAGAUCUUUAUGAAUAUAAUAAUCAUUUAGAUCUUUAUAAAAUAUAGUGAAAACUUUAAAAAAAAUUUAAAAAUAAAUGUAGAAUAAAUGGAUAACAAAAUCAUUUAGUUAUACAAAAUUAAUGAGGACUUAUUUAAAAAAUAAGUAAAUAUGUGAUUAAAAAAUCUUUUUUUUUUAUAAAUAACUAUUACACUCGUACCUCAUUUUACGUUAAACUUAUUUUCUUCCAUUACAUUAAGAAAUAUCAAAAUCUAAGGACCCAUUUAGUAACAUAAGCAAGUUUUAGAUUUGUAAGUGGUGAUGUGUCAGCCUGACCCACAAAAGUUUAAUUUAAUUUCUGCUUCCUGCUUGGGUUUGGGUCAUGCCACAAUCUUGACAGUUCAACGGGCUACAGCCUACAAGCGAGUUUUAUAUUUUUAUUUAAAAAAAAAAAAUGAUGAUUUUUUGUCCACCCCGAUAUGUUUCGACAUAUCACAAUCUGUACCCAAAUAUUUUUGACCAGUCUCACCGUACACCCACAUCUAUCAAUUUGAGUGUUUUAUUCUAACGUUGAAAGGACACAUUCAUAACAUAAUUAAACUAUUAAAUUUAAGGGUGGAUUUAAUGGAAUCGAGUGUGUAGUGGGAUUUGUUGAAAGAGUUGGGUGCAUGGUGAAACAUGUCCAAAUAACUAGGGGCGCACCACAAAUUGACCGAUGGCUUAUUUAAAUAAAAUUUAUAUUACUAGAACUUUUACAAAUAUAACUUUAACCUAAAAUUUUUAGUUGUUUAAUUGUCAAUGAAAACUUUUAUUAAAAAUUAUAAAAUUACUUUAGUAGAUAAUUUUUUAAAGUUAUGUUAUGAAAAGAAUAAACUAAGAUUGUUAAAUAAGUAAAUAAUAUUUUAGCUAUUUUAAUAUUUAAAAGAAAUUUUCAACAUCUUAUUUCAGAAGUUGAAAAUUUAAGUUUUUACUAGUAGAGACAAAAUAAUUUACUUAAUUUUCAAAAGUCUUGCUGAAAAAAAAAAAAUUUGAUGAAAGUGUACAAGAUUAAAUAAGUACUUGUAACUAUUAGAUAAGAUAUAUCAAACAAACACUUAAAGUUUAUUCGGCAUCUUUAAAAGUAUUUUCAAAAAUGCUUUGGAGUAGUUCUUUACUUCUUUUGACAAAAGCAUUUAAAAAAAUAAAAAAAUAUGUUUUUUCGACUUUCUUUUCAAAAGUAUUCUUUUGACUCUAAAAUUCAUGACAAAUGAGAAACUCUAUCAAAAUUGAUUUUAAAUUGCAUGUCAUUUCUCUUCUAUAUAAAACCAUUCAUAAAUGACAAACUAAUAAUUAAUUAAAUAGUAGACAUUUUUAUUGUCUUAUUAUUGAAGUUUAGAAUUCGAGUUAUUUUGUGUCUUUUUUUUAAUAUUCAUAUUACGUCAUGAAAUAGUUAAUUUUAAGAGACAAUACAUAUUUAAACUGAACUAUCAUAGAUUUGAUUUAAGAUAGUAAAUCAACUUCCAUUUCUUUUUUAGAGGAAAUGUUAUGCAUUUAAAUUUGAAUUUGAUUUAAACUAGAUAUAUCGUUAAGCAAUUCUUUAAAAAGGGAAAUUUAAUCCAAAUUUAUUAUCACUAUUAUAAUUUAAGUUUUAAUUUUAAAAAAUAGACAAAAAAAUAAUUUAUUACAUUAGGCUGAUCCCAUAAUCUGACAUUAACCGCAAAUUAAUCUGCAGUAACAUUCCUUCCUCCUCGAGACUCGAAACGUACGUAGCACUCGCUGCUUCAACAAUUAACGGUAAGUUAUAUACACGUGGCACUUUUACAAAGCGAGUUAUCUUACUACCAUACGCGUCGCAAUACUCGAAUUAAUUUUCAAUUUGGGAGGCAAUUUGUUUUCCCUCGUCCGGAUUAGUUCAAAUUUCAAAAACGACGCAACAACUCUCUCACUGUUGUUAAUUGGCCGAUUAAUUAAAAUCCACCAAAAAGAAAUUAAAAGUUUAAGGAAAAAAAGAAAAAAAAGAUAGGGUUUCAUUAUUGACACUGACAAGGGCAAAAUCAAGAGAGGAGAGAGAUGAUAUUAUGAUAAGCUCAUUGCUGAAUCAUCGAGAAAUCGGGCGUGUUUGCAGAUUGGUGGUGAGGUUUCUAGACGUCACCGUUUCGAGAGCCAUGGGCUGUUUCUUCGGUUGCUUUCGUAUCAGAGACGACCGAGCUCGUAUCUCUCAUACUACUCGACCUAAUAAACACACGGUAAGCUUCAUUUUGCUUCGAUUUUUAGGGUUUAUGCUAGAAAUUGAUUGACUCGACAUUUUGUAUUUCUGCUUGUUUUGAUCAGGAAGCUGUGAUAUCGAAAAAUCGUUUGUCCUCUCUGUUUUUAUCUGAAGGUGAAUUUUGCUCUUAUUAUUAUUUCCUUUUUAUUUUUUUAAUAUUAUUUAUUCAGUUGUUUCGAAAUUGGAGUUCAUUUGUGUUUGUUUUUUUUUAUAGAAAAAGAAGAGUCUUGGAGCAAUGAUAUUGAAAGUCAGCGUUUGGAGUCUCCAGAAAUUGAUAAGAGCCUCAAGGACGAGGUAAUGAUUGAUUUGUUUGUUUUGAGUUUUGAUUAUGUAUGUGGAAGCCGGUGUGCGAUCGAUGAACAAGACACAUUUUUGUUGUCGAUGUUGAUGUGGGACUUGAAUUGGCCGGGAUUUGAAAUUAGUUGUAUAGAGCUGGAGAUGUACGGAUUAUUCACUAUUUUAGCUUUAACUAGCAACACUCUGUUAAGAGUAUCUGAAUAUGAUACUGAAAUCCUGUUGACUUGAGCAAAUGUGCUGAGCUUGUUUAAUGCUGAGGUGGCAGAAAGUGACGCGUUGGCAGAGGUUUACCAAACCGACUUAGAAGAAAUAGAUUAACUGCAGCUCAUUAGUUUGUUAUACAGUAGAUUAGUUAGCGAAUUAUCAAUGUGAUUUAGAUUUCAGAAUUUACAAAUUAUCAAUGUUAUUUAGAUUUCAGAAUUUACAUAAGAGCUACUAUACAAUAAAUAUUAGAUGUAUCACUUUUGUUGUAUUCAAUUAGUUGAGAUGAUAAAAGUAUCUCUGCUCUCUCAAUUUUCAUUUUGAAUUUCCUUCUUUUUCUUUCUGGCCAAACACUGCAAUAGCUCCUUUAUUUCAACAAGGGUUCAGAUUGGGUAGAUGAAGGUUGUAAUGGAGAGCAACUGGCUUUUCAGUAGUUCGGUUUCUUUCAAAACUGGUUACAGUUUUUAGAUAAUAAUGUGGUAAAAUGAUUUUCUAACUCUUGAAAUUAUAGAAGACCUUUUAGCAUAUGCCUAAAUGUGUUAAGGAGGACAAAUGACGCUUAAUUACUUAAAUACGUUUUAAAUGGAGGCCUGAGUUUUUUUUUUUUUUUUUUAAUUUUUUAAAUACUUUAAAAUUAGAAAAAAUAAAAUUUUGAUGGGAGAUUCUGCAAUAUAAUCUUUUGAAGUUUGAGCUUGUCACAGUUAAUCCUUUAUUUAAUGGUUUAUACAGUUAUAAUUUUGUUUUUUGAAAUUAGUUUUGAUGGGUAUAUCUAUAUAUCAGUACUCUUAGAUCAAACUUUUGCAUAUAUUGAACUUUUCUUGAUUGUAUAAAGUUCAUUUUACAGGCCAAGUUUCUUAAAGCUUGUGGCACUCUAAUUGAGACUCCUGCUGAAAUUCGGAAAGCAUCUCAAAAAUUAAAAGGUUCACCCUCUUCUGGAAAAGAUAAAGAGUCUUCAAAGCUCCAUUCUUGGCUUCCUAAUACAUCGAUCACGAAACUUCAUCUGGGAAGGGAAUGUGAUCAGCCCCCUUCUCCCAUCAAACUUUCUGAAGAAUGGGGAAGAGAAUCACCUUCUUUGGAACACACACCUAGCAGGUUGGAGUUAUAGCUUAACAAAUUGUCACAACGAAUUGAUGCUUAAUAAUUUCCUUUAAAACUUAGUUGUAAUGGAGUUACACUGCUCAUAACUCUUGAUGGCAGGGGUUUCUCAGUCAUCAAGAAUGGGUUGCUCUCUCCAACUUUCUUGUCCUUUAUGUUCUUGAAAUACCAAAACCUUAGAAAUGGAAAUGCUUUCAACCUGAUUUCACUAUUAAUUUUUUCCCCAAAAUUCAUUUCGGAAAAUCCUGUAGAUGUCUGACGCAUGUUUCAUGUCAUUUUUUGCAGCUGUAUAUCCAAUGCACAAACAACUGGACGUAUCUCUAUCAGCUCUACCGAUUGCAGUGUUGCAGGGAAUGCUAAUACUGAAGUGAUGGUUAACUCUAAUCAAUCUGGCAGUAUUGCAUCUGCUUCACCUUGGAUUUCAGGCACAAAUGCCCAGUGCAGGAACAAAUCUGUGCGUUUUGAAUUCGAGUCUGAUGCAUCUUCCUCUAGAGAUUCUUCAUCUGGCAAUAUCAGUCAAAUUUGCAGGAAAUAUGAAUCCCCAGACAACGAGAAUGUGUCAAAGAAUUCACCUAAUCCUACGCCACUAAAGCUUUCUGAUGAUAUGCAAACACCUGGAACUGUUUACCCUACAAACCUUAAAAGUUUGGCAGAUGGGAAUACUCGAAUCAGGUCUCAGUAUGUGUACUCAGUACGGAACCCAGUUGAGAGUGUUUCACAAUUGAAGGCACUAGAGGAAGAGGGUUUUGACUCACAUGAAUUAUCAGGUGAGCUCAAAGAAUCUAUUGAAAAUGCGACUCCAGAAUUAGACAAAGGGGUAGAAGGAAGUUCAGUUGGCAAAGAUUUGAAGGUAGAGGCAAGCUUGUCAGCAUGGUUGAAGCCAGCAGCAUCCACUAGUGAUGAUAAUAAUAAAAGUACAGGGGGUUCUUCCAGAAAAAAUUCUCACUUUGCUAGAAAUCCAGGAGAUAGGCCUAUAAUCGGGAUGGUUGCUGCUCACUGGAUUGAGGAAGAGACUCCUCAGAUUGGGCCCAAAUGGUGGGAUGGGAAUGGCAUUCCAAAUUCAACUAAUAAAUACAAGGAGGUGCUCUAAUCCUCCCUUUUCUCCUUUUCAAUUCAUUAAAUUUGCCUGAAGAAUGCUGCUGCAAGGACUGGCUUGUUUUCUUUGCAGGAUCAGAAAGUGAGUUGGCAUGCGACACCAUUCGAGGAGAGGUUAGAAAAGGCAUUGUCUGAAGAGACUUUCAUCUCUCAAAGGUAUAUAUCUCUUGUGUCUAUUCUUCUGGUAGGGCGUCUAAGGAACUGAUUCAUUGAUUUACUUCUGUUUACCCAUUCCAUAAUGUGAUAUGUACCUGGAAAAAAUGCGAUUGAAUGUUUGUAGCAUUGUCCUGAGUGGUAAAGAAUAACUGAGAGGGUAAUAUUUCACAAAAUUAACUGGUGUUUCAAGGAUAAAAUCAGCCCAAUUCAACGACAUAGAAUUGAGGAUUAAAAAUACAUUGGAUUGUUGGGUUCUGAUUGUUUUAGUUGUCUGAUUUUCAGGAAGAACAUAAAGGAGAACCCCGUUGUUUUUGAAGACACCGAAGAAGCCGAUACAGCUCUUUCUCAGUUGCGACCUUCCUCACAUUCCAAGUCGGUUGUUUCAUACUAACGUUGUUUGCCAAGUGUCUUUACUCUACAGUUUGGCAUCGAAUUGUCAAUUGAAUUGAGUUUCUAGAACUUGAAUUGAAAGAGUUUUAUGUUGUGAAAUACCGUGGUUGUAUGCGGAAAGUCAUCGAACUCGAUAGCUCUUAUGUGCUGGGAUACAUGUUGGAGUUAAGUGCAAUGUAAAUCAAACAAUACAACUUUGUGCAUCAAUGAUGCAUUGAAGCACACAUUUUUAUGUUCAUCUAAGCUAUCCGUUAUCAGUAUGUCCGUGGAGUUCGACCAAAUUUAUCAUGCACUCCACAGUAGAUAAUGCUUUUUGUAUUGGUUUAUUUUAGGGUUGGUAAAUUAAGGGUUUGGCUGGAUUUUUUCAAGCUCUGGCGCAAGUUAUCGAGAAUAGGUUCAAAUUCUUUAAAAAUUCAUUGAAUCUCAGACGGGCCAGGCUUGGAAUGGGCCUGGACUGACCUAGACUCUUCGUUAAAUUUAGAAAUAAAUUUUUAAUAAAAUGAAAGAAUUUAAUUUAAAGAUAAUUAUCUAAUACAUAAUAAAAUAAUAAUUCAACAUACAAAAUAAAAAAAAUAUUAAUAUAAUAUUUUAAUUUUUUUCCUUUUUUAAUAUAAUUUAUGUUUUUUUAUUUAUAAAUUCAAAUUUUAAUCUAUACAAUCUUUAUGUUUUUCAAUCGACAUAUAUACAAGUUCAAUCCAUGUGGACUUGGGCUGAACUGGCGUGGGCUUUUUUACCAACCCCAAUUUAUUUAUUGGAUAGUAGUAAAAUAGCAAAAGGGGGGUCAAAUUGCAAUACUAGAAAACUAUCAGGGGCAAAUUGAAGAUCCCAAAAUAUUUCUUGUUUAUAACCAGAUAAAUCUUCAAUCUGCAGGAACCGUGAAUGGGGGAUUGAGGGUUUUACGGAGAGAGGAAAGAGAAAGAAGGCCGUAUGAAUACUGGAAGCGGCGAAUAACAUGUGGAUACGAAAACCUGAGGGGAUCAUGAUGUCCUUUUAAUCAAGUAAUAUAGUUUUCAAUCUGAAACACUACAAUUUUUUUGCUUCGCUGCUCGUAUUUAUUGUCUUCUUUUUCUCUUCACAGCUCUCUUUGCCAUUCCCUCCAAUUUCUUCUCCCUUUUUCGGGCCUUGUGAUGAUGCGCUCAGCUCUGAAGGUUCUAUCGACAUAUCCAUCCUUCUGCAUCUCCUCGCUUCCGGACCGGGACCCUUGUGAACCCGAUCCAAAUUUGAUUUUAUUUAAAUACAAAUUAUCAUACUUUUUUUUUUAUAAAUACAAACAGUUUUUUUAAUACAUUAAUUAAUUGGAAUUUUAAUAUCGCAAAUGUUAAAAAAUUCACUUCUGUUUAUUACUUUCUAGUGUAAUUUGUAAACCUAGUCUUUCAUGUAGCGGGAGUUUUUUUUUUUUUAAAAGAGAUAAUAAGUUAUUUUUGUGCUAGAAGAAUAGGAGUGAAAUUAGACCCUACAAUCCCUAAGUUCACUCAAAUAAUUAGCUGAUUAAUUAAAAGGAUAACGUGCAAUUUAAAUUUAAAUUAAACCAAAAUCAAUAUAUUAAGAAAACACUCUUGGCGAUUCAGUUUGUAUCUCUACAAUUUUAUUUUAUUGUUGCAUACAUUAAAUCCUUGACAAUAUGAAUUAUUAUCAUGGAAAUGAUUAUUGAGAAAUUUACCUAUUUAGUCAUUUUCAUAAAAUCAUUAUUAAGAUUAAGUAUGUAACAAAGUUUAUUACUGUAAUAAUCACUUACAACCAUGGUGGAUAAAUUAUCCUUAAAACAAACUAAACAAACCCAAAACAACUAGUAAUUUAUAAACACCCUACUCCACAGCACUUGAGAAGUGACUCCUAUUUGGUAUUAAAGGCCUCACGGCCCAUCAAACCAAGGCCCUUGAAGGCCGACGGGCCAGCACGCCUAAUUUUUUUUUUGUUAAGCCCAACAGCCUAAAAAAGGCCCAUCAAAUUUUAAGUUCACGUGCCUGCCGCAGUUUGUUUAAGUCCACGUGACAUGUUUUUCUAAGUCCAUCAGCCUAUCUACUAAUAAUAAUAACAACAACAAUAAUAAUAAUAAUUUUUAUUAACUAUUAAGAGAAAAAUUAACAUUUUAUUAUCAGUUUAUCACAAUUUUGUAACUAUAUAUUUAAAUAUUUAAUUUCACAAUUACCAAUUCAAUUAUAACACAACAAUAUUAUUUGUACUUAAGUGAAGCAAAUUACACCUAAUUUUAUUUGAACUAUUAAUACUAUAAUUGGACUUGAACUCCAUUGAAUGAAAAUUCAACUUUUAAUUUAUCAUAAAAAAUAAAAAAAUAUUUCGUUCAUAAUUUUAUUUCUUUGUGUAUAAAUAUAAAAAAAUAUUUUAUUCACAAAUCACAAAUGAAACUAUCUCCAUUAACUAAAUUACGAUUUUAUAAAUGAAAUAUUAAUUGUCAUAAAAUUUUGAUAUAUCAUUUUAUAAAAUCGUGAUAUUUAUAAUUUUAUUUAUUAAAAUUAUGAUAUUUAUUUAUUCAUUUAAUAAAUGAUAAACAUAAAAUAAUUAGAAUUUUUUUAAAACUAAGACUUAAAUUAAUUUAAUAAAAUAUAUUAAAAAUUUUAAUUUUAAAAUAAUUGUAAAAUCAUAACAUUUUAUUUUUACUUUUUAUUAAAAAAAUUUACUUUGAUAUACUUUGGCCCACGUGCUAUUGAUAGCCCACGGGUCGCAUGGUAACCCACCAAUAAAGCGUGCUUAUUACGUGUUUUUUCUUGUGCCGUCACCGUUAAUCGUGUCGUGCUUUUAAGGUCCACGUGCCUAAAAGUCUGAGCUCGGCCCAGUCCACGUGCGUGCUGUGCCAUACCGCAUGCCUUGCCGAAAUGUGCUUGUGCCGUGCCUGUGCUGUGCCACGUGCCGCCCAGCCCGUUGGCCACCUUUAGUUGGUAUCAUUACUAUCCAAGGUUGUAUUUUAUUGCAAGAUAUAUUUGAAAAUUAAAUAAGAUACAUAUUAGAAUAAUAUUUAAAUUAUAUAUAAUGUAUGUAUGUAUGUCUGUAUGUAGAUAGUCAAUCCAUUGCUUAGGGGCGAUGGAGCCUAACACUCAUGUGAAUGGAGCCCAUCACCCCAAUUGGGAUGCUUUCAUCUCUUUCUCGUAGUGUCAGUAGGUAUUUUUAAUAUUAAAGAGUGUAUAAUUAGAGAUGUAUCCAGUGCACUUAACAAUAUAAUUGAAAUAAUCAUUUCCUUGGAGGUAUUUUAGCAAACACUUGAUGUGUCAUUCGUUGCAUAAUCUAAUCUUAACAAAAGUUAAAAUUUUUCAUGCCCAGUGCAUAUUCCUUAUUAUCACAUGUAUCCAUCAAACAAAUAAUUUAAUCAGCAAUUAAAAAAUAAACCAUGGAAAUAUAACAACACCUUGAGGUGAAGCCAAGCAAAACUGUGAAGUAAAUCCGAUCAAAACCGUGAAAUGCAGUUGACCAAAACCAUAGAAGGGUCGAAGGAAGCAUGCUGCUUUCGAUGGAAGCUGUGAUUGUCAAAAGAAGUUGCGUAGAAGCUAGCAAAACCGCGGAAAGAGAUGGGGGCGAUGUUGUGCUUGCGGAUUAAGAACUGUUUGGUUUUGUUUUAUGGAUAAUUUGGCCCAAAAUGAAUAUGUAUAUAGAAAGAGAUAAUUAUUUUUAAAAAAUAACUAGAUAGGUAAAUUUUCCAUGAUCAUUUUCAAUGAAAUAAGUUUAGUCUUUUUAACAAUCACUUGUAGAGUGAUUUUUUAAAAAAUAAAUGUGUAUAUACCCAGAGGCGGAUACAGCACAUGACCAGUGGGGGCUUGAGCCCCCACUGGCCAAUUUUUUUUUUUAAAUAAAAGAAAAAAUAGUUUAAUUUUUUAAUUAGCCCCAUUAAAUUUAUUAAAAUAGUCACUAUAAAAUAUAAACCCCAUAAAAUUUAAACUUUGACUUUUAAAAAAUAUAAAAACAUAUAUUUUAAUUAAAAAUAAUGAUAGCCCACUACUCAAAAUAUUUUAUAUUCUAAAAAAUAUGGUUAAUUCUUCCAGUUUAUAUAAUAAUAGUAGAACGAACAUUUUCAGUAAUAAAACUCAUGAAGAAUCAUCUUUGGAAUCGGAUGGGAUAAGUGAUAGUUUGGUUAUUUAUAUAGGAAACAAUAAAUUUAAUAACAUUGAUAAUGAGUCUAUUGCAUAAUAUUUUUAAAAUAUAAAAAUGCGUAGAGACUAAUUAUAAAUAUUUUAUAUAUUCAAAAUUUUAAUUUUUUAUAUUUUAUUAUUAUCUAAUUUAGCUUCCGAUAAAUUAUUUUUAUAGAUCCGCCACUGUAUAUACCAUAAGAUCAUUUAUUUAUUAUAUUGUUAACGUGAAUACGUGAUAUUUCCAGUGUAUUUUAAAAUUUCUCUCUUAAAAGAAUGGAUUUUAUUUGGAUAAAGUUUUGUCCUUGAUAGGUUUGCGUUUUGGUCUACAGUAAGAUGAGGGGAAGAGUUACCAAGGGAAAUAUCCUAAUGGUGGCUUCUGGACUCCAUCAUGCGUAAGAUGGGCCAGUACUCUGGUGGACAGACUUUCUAGAAGACAACUGUAUUUUUAUUCUCUUCACAUUGGAUUUUGAGUUUUUAAUUGCAAAUGGAUUCAUAUACUUUUCAUCUUUGACGAAAAUCAAAAUCUAUGCCGAAGUCUGCCCUCAAGAAUUCUUCGGAAUAUGAAAUGAGUGAGAAUGCUCAUGGAAAUGCCUCGAAUUUUUGUUUCAAUAAUAAUUUUUAAAAUUUUCAUUGUUUAUUAACUUGCAAAAUGUAAAAUGGGAAGUAUGGCUGCGUCUAAUUAACUUGUGAUAAUCACAAGUACAAUAAAUUAUGUUUUGCCUUACACCUCUUGUCGGAGUAACCAUAUUUCAAUUACAUUGCAUGGUCUCACCAAUGUGCCGACCUUCUAAAUUAACAUCGAUCAUUUUCGUUCAUAACCUUCACUUCAUUUUGGUUAUGGCAAGUUAUAUUAUGGCUCAAAGUUUCUUCAUAUUAUCUAAUCCUCAGCCGCUUUGAAAGGCAAAUUUCCUUUUAAUGACCUGCAACUUAAUUGUUUAAUUUCCCAACGAUCAUACCCGUAUCGUUGUCCCCAUAGCCAUAUGCAUUAUAAAGAGCCAAAUAAUAUGUCCAAUUCUAUCAUUUGGUGAUAGAAUGAUAAAAAAGGAAAAAAAAAUCUAUAUAUAAAACCCUCUCACUAGCUAAUUAGACGUAACGUAAUUAGAAUUAUGCUUGUUUUAAUUUGCUCUCUAUCUAUAAAGAACUAAAUAAUUUGAGUUUAAUCUGACAAUAACUAAUCUCUCGUCUUUCUUUAUGUUAGGUGGAAUCCCCGCUAUAAAUUUUUUCAUUUUUUAAUAAAACCACCCAUAUGGUGGGUGAGGCUUUAAACCAAGCCUCUGCCUGUAAUAAAAAUCUACCAAUGGAAUCCCCCGCCACAAGUUGUUCCCUUCAAUUUACCUUUUGUUUACGGGACAAUCAGGUCUUCUGCAAUGCCUGCGUGUCCUACUUCCGAAAUCCAAUGGUUAUGGUCGCCUCCCAUAAGACAAAAAAAUAUGGUCAAGUUACCACAGCGAUGUCUGUACACUAAAUGCAAAAGAGACCACGUUCAUUUUCUCUCUGUCUUUUUAUGAACCAUAAGACAAUGCACUGUACACAUGAUGGUAUGUGCUGACCUAAGACCGAGACCGACUCAAGGCCAUGUGAGGCUUUUAGUCAAAACUAGAAUAAUAUGAAAUGGGUUCCUGACUUCUAAGUUGCCCGAGAUUGGGCCGCCUAUCUUGACAUAACUUUGAUUCCUAUCGGUGGCUGCAAAUUAAUAUGUAAUUAAAAAAAAAAGAGAAAAAUCCCACUAUGGCACUAUAUUAGCCUAUAUAAAAGGGAUGAGCAAACUGCCCGUAGAUUACGAUCACAAGCUCACUUGCUGCUUUUUAUCGACAGAAAAAGUUAACACCAGCAACGAUGGUGGUCAAGGUGUACGGUCCGGCUUAUGCUUCUCCCAAACGAGUGAUUUUGUGCUUGGUUGAGAAGGAAAUCGAAUUUGAAACUGUCCCCGUUGAUCUCAUCAAAGGAGAGCAGAGAAGUCCUGAGUACCUCAAAUUACAGGUUCAUUAAUUUAAUUUAAUUACUUCAUUAAUCGAAGAUCGUGUGUAUUGAUGUUCAUGUUUUGAUUGAUUAAUUGAUUAAUUGACUCUUAUGCUUUUAAUUCUAACAAAAUAAUGCAGCCUUUUGGAGAGCUUCCUGUCAUUCAAGAUGGAGAUUUUAUUUUAUACGGUAAAUACUUUUUCAAGUCUUUAGAUUUAGAUUUGAGUUGAUUACUUAGGUAGCUUGGUGAAUUUUUAAAAUUAGCUAAAAAUUGUCUUGGUAUAUAUGUUUCUGUUAAUAUUUGUUUCUUAUACUUUAGUUUUUUUAAUUAAUUAUGAGCUUAAACAUGGCAUAAGUGACUUUCAACGGUACAAGUUUUAAAUUCUAGGUAUAGGUUUAACGUUCCAAGGUUAUGAUUCAUUUGCAGAGUCGCGAGCUAUCAUGAGGUACUAUGCCGAAAAGUACAGGUCUCAAGGAACCGAACUUCUGGGAAAAACAAUUGAAGAAAGAGGCCUGGUGGAACAGUGGCUAGAAGUAGAGGCACACAACUACAACCCAGCAAUUUACGAGCUGACCAUCCAACUUUUAUUUUCCUCCAAGUUUGGACGUCCCGUUGAUGAAAAAUUGGUGAAGGAGAGUGACGAAAAGCUUGGAAAAACGCUCGACGUUUACGAGGAGAGGCUGUCGAAGAGCAAGUAUUUGGCUGGUGAUUUCUUCAGCCUGGCUGAUCUGAGUCACAUUCCAUUUACCCACUACUUGGUUGGGCCGAUGGGGAGACAGCAUAUGAUUAGAGACAGGAAGCAUGUGAGUGCUUGGUGGGAUGAUAUUAGCAACAGGCCGUCCUGGAAGAAAGUCCUUGAGCUCUGUAAGACUCCUUUCGGCUGAGCUUGAUUGUAUGUGUUUCAAUUUUCGGGCUUGUGUUUUACUUCUCUACUACUUGGUUUGUUUCUGUCUGUGGGAUAUGUUUCUUGCAUAUGUGUGUUUCAAAUAAAUAAAUGUUUGGAGUUGGAGCUUUUUUUUUAGGCUUGAUUCUUUUUUUAUUUUAUACUGCUUUUUUUUUUUUUGAAAAAGAAAAAGGGUUAGAAAGUGUCUUUUACUUGAUUGCAAGUUGUUUAUUUAUUCAAAUAGAAGAGGUCUUGUAUUUUUUUUUUGGGUAGUAAUGAUAUCGACAUGUCCUCUAAAAAUGCUGCUUUGCCGGGGUAAAAGAGUGUAAUCAAUCUGAGCAUUUUACACGCACAAGUUACCCACAAUUUCUUAACUACGGGUGGAGUUUGCAUAAGACUAGAGGGUGUCUCGGCACUUGCAAAAAUUUAGAAAAGUUUUGGGAAUUUUAUGAAAAGUUAGAUGUGAAAAUACUAACUUGACCCGGCACUCACUUGAUCCAUGAACUUUUACAUUCUUCACUAACAUUAAUGUGAAAAGCUAAAAUAAAAGUAAUUAGAGGGAAAAAAAAAGGACAAAAUGUGAAAGCAACCCCAAGCACGUCAAUAACAAAUCCACAAAUCGCAAGCUGCAAACUACAGACAAAUCCCUGAAUUCCCAACAGUUGAAACCCAUUGAAAAUUAACCAAUAUUUCAAAAGGAAAGCUUCUAAAAUUAGAAGUUAAUAGCAAUUCUCCAAAUUCUAAAAAUCCAACAAUCUCACAUGCCAAAGCAAUACUAAUUAUUCAUUAAGUUACUGAAAAUAAAGGAAAAAAGAAUCCUUCUAGACAGCUCUCUCUCAAAGAGAACCUAAAAUUGAUGAAGUAAAGGAUCCUUGGUGAUCCAGAUUUGUCACUCACGGGUUGAUUGGGGGAGUGUCACUCGCAGGGUGGGUGGAAAACAUUAAAAGAAAUAGGAAGGGGGAAAUUGGUACGAGUAUUAAACAUGGUAAGGGGAAUCAAUAUAGUUAACGGGGUUGAUGAGAAGUUGGUGAGUUUUUUUAGUGCAACUGAUCUGUUUUAAAAGGAGAGAUGGACGCUGAUGAAUUAGUACGUAAAUGUGAAGCCAUAGCUUAAAAUCAGAAGAAGACAAUAUGAUCAACUUUGGGGGAAGAAUGAAAGCUAAAGGACGGAAAAUUGCAGCACAUUGUCUCGUUGGAAAAAUAUUUCAUACACGUGGAGUCUCCCGUGAAGGGCUUAGAGCAACGAUGCAACAAGUAUGGAGAUCAAUACAGGAAUUGAAAGUGGAGAGUCUAGGUGAAAAUGUCUUCAUCUUUAAAUUUGCAUCAAAAAGUGAAAAAAAGAGGAUAUUGCAUGAAGGACCAUGGGACUUCAACAACCUGCUAAUGGUGCUCAUAGAACCAUCCAAUUUGGGUAACAUUAAGCAACGAGCUUUCAACCAUACAUCAUUUUGGGUGCAAAUUCACAAUGCGCCUAUUAUGUGUAUAGAUAAAGACAUAAUGAGGGAGAUAGGAAAGAAGAUUGGCAAGGUAGAGGAGGUGGAAAUGGAUGAAACAAGGGAAUGUUUUGGCUCUUUUUUCUCGCCUAAGAAUCUUGAUAGAUGUAGCACAAUCAUUGAAAAAAAGGUGGUUGUUAAAACUAGAAGGUAGUGAGAGGAUUUUCAUUAGAAUCGCCUAUGAAAAAUUGCCUGACUUUUACUUCUGUUGUAGGCUAAUUUGGCAUCAAUAUAAGGAGUGUCUUGAGUACAAAGGGCUGCCAAAAAAUGAGUUAACAUAUGGAGCAUGGAUGAAAGCACUGACAAGAGUGGAAAGAGCCAAGCAGAGAACGAUUAAGAACUUUGGAAUAGGAAGUGUUUUCAACUGAUUUUGGGGUAGGAAAAGCCAAAAUCUAUCUUGAACAAUGAAUUUAUAUUUUUGGGGGAGAUGGAGUACCUCACUGGUUUGUUGUGUGCGGGGCGGUGUAUCUGAAGUUCGGGGGAGGUGAGAAGGGAAGAGAGAGUGGUAACAAUGGUGGAAGGUCAGAAACAAGAGAGAUGUCCUUCCAAAAUGAGCUUCACGCCUACAAAACAGUGAAAUAGAGGUUAGAGGUGAAGCCGGGGUACCCCGGCGUUCACACUCCGACGCUCAAGUUAGCAAACUCAAGCUUUUAUGGCAAAGAGAGCUAGCUAGCCCUCUGUAAAUUAGGGUUUAAGGUUGAAGAAAACCUAUUUUUUGGAGUGUGAGUGUUUAUGGUGAGUGAGAGCAUGAUGGAGAAUGAAACCUAGGCACCUUUAUAUAUGGAGUACCUCAGCUGCCACGUGGCGUACCCUUUUUGGCUAACGUCCUUUUACCUUUUUAUGAUUUUUGGGCCGUUAUGUGCAUGUUCGCGGCGUAUCUCAUCCUUUGGAAACGUGGCACGCGCUGGAGAGUGGUCCAGGGUACCUCUGCAGUAACUGUCGGGUAGGCGGCUGAGGAUCACUGUCCUUGGGACAGUGUCCUUUACUUUUGGCAGAGGUAGCAGGCGGCUGUCCCCCCCUUUUGGUACGACGUUCUUGAUUCCUUAUUCUGACAAAAUCGAAUAAUAUCUUUUAAGAAGUGGAGACGUUUCUCAUGGCGGAUAUUUUCGGAGGAUUCUCUUGCAUCCGCUUUGCCGGGUACCUCGAGUUACGUGGGGUACCCCCUAUUACGCGGGGUACCCCUAUCUGUAUGGGUACCUCAUAUUAUAUGGGGUACCUCUAUUUGUGUGGGAUACCCCUAAUUGUGCACGGUACCUCUAUUUACACGGUGUUCCUCAAGUCAUGCCGAGCACCUCGGAUUGUGCAGGGUACCCUCCAAUUGUACUGAAAUCAUUCCAUUGGUUGACACGUGGCGCUCUAUUGCCUUUCCUAUUUUUCCCUCAAACAGGAAGCAAAGAGCAUCAUAGUCAGCAUUAGAAAACCAAAAACAGCAAGAACGGAUUCAAUAAAAAAAGGGGCCAGGGUAAGCCAUGUGUGAGAGAUGGAUCUGGGGCAACCCAAUCUCACUAUGGGAUCAGCACAAAGCCAACAAAGAUCAUCCACAUGGAACGAUCAAUUGCAGGCUCAUUAAUGAAGCAUGGAGGGGAUAAUAAACAACAGCGGAGUCUCCUACGUUACGAUUAACGUAACGUACAUCCACACACAACAACAAUACUCAUAGGUGGGACUCACCACUAUUACUGUGUGUGGACGUACGUUACGUUAAUUGUAACGUAGUUGUAACGUAGCAGUGGCCUAAACAACAUACUAGAAACUAUAGCAAUGCUACAUAGAUAGCUGAUGGGGAGCUAAUGUCUAGAAAAAUGAGCAGUUUAGUGGGAAACAGUGAAAAGAAUAAGUGGGAAAAUGCAAUGGAGAUUGAAAAAAAGAAUAUGGGCUCAAUGGGCCUAAAUAUGCUGAGAGACAAUAUGGACCAAACACAAAAGCAUACUGAAACAGAAGUAGCUGGGAUAUGCACAUUUGUGAUAGAUAAGAGGAAGAAAUGGAAAUUGCAAGCAAGGGAAAGAGUAAUUACACGGGCCGGAAAUGUUGGGCUGAUUUCACUCAAGCGGGCCAUGGAAGAAUAAAUAAAACCAAGCCGAGAAUGCAAAAAAAUGAAAAUAAGGAGCACAAGCCAAGCAAACUCAACUUUCCCCAGUAAAAUUUAAUCUUUUAUGGGUGGAAGAAACAAGAAGUUUGAAGUAUGGACAAAGGAGGUUUACAGAGAAUGCAGCGGCAGAGGCUGGAAACCAACCCUGCUAACAGCCAUGAAAAUUAUAAGCUGGAACGUUUGAGGUUUGGGGAAUCCCCGAACGUGCCUAGCAUUGAAGAAAAUCCUCCAAUUACAGAAGUCUCAGCUGGUGUUUCUUUAUGAAACCAAAUUGACAAAUGUGCAAGUCAAAUAAGCGUGUAGAACGAUGAUUCUAGAUAGUUAUUUUGCUACUGAUAAAGUUGGAAAGACUGGUGGCUUUGCCUUAUUAUAGAGUAAUGAUAUUGAUGUUCAACUUAAAUCCUACAACAGACACCACAUAGGCAUGCAUGUUCAGCACGUGAAUGGGAAAUUUUGGAGAUGCACAGGAGUAUAGGUACCCUAAAUCAAAUAAAAAAAAGCACAGCUGGACUCUUUUGAGAAGAAUGUCAGGUUUGUCCUCUCUCCCAUGGCUGUGUUUUGGUGACUUCGAUGAGAUCCUAUAUUCAAAUAAGAAAACUGGGGGUUUAGAUAGAAAUGCCAAUGUGAUUGCCGAAUUUAGUGAUGCUGUGAAAGAAUGUAAGCUAAUUGAUUUGGAGAGUAGAGGUCAUCCGUUUACUUGGUCUAACAGACAACUUGGACCAUAUUGCAUAGAGGAAAAAUUAGAUAGAUUUUUCUACAACCAAGAAUGAAGAGCUGAGUUUCAUGUUGAUCUAACCACAACUUGAUCCAUUGGGAGUUUGAUCACUAUCCGAAUAUGAUUAGAGAACGGCAACGAAGUCUUGUGUAUGAGAGAAGAAAUUUCAAUAGAAUUCACUAUGAGAAUAUGUGGAGCUCCUAUAAAGCAUUCCAAAAUAUACUUAAAAUCCAGUGGCUUAAGUGGCAUAUAAGUACAGAAGUCAACCCCGUGCUAAUGUUCAAAACAAUUGCCAAAAGCUCAAUGACUUAAUUGCCGUGCUCAUGUUUUGCAUAAUAGAACUCCGCGAUUUGAUUGAAAAAGUCCCGAAACAACAGUAAGCUCAGAAUCUGGUUUGGAAGCUGCUGGUGCUGCGGCUGCAAGUCCUACUGUUACUGGUUUGCUGGCUCCUAAUUUCUUGGGACUACCUGAUCCAUAAUGUUGUGAUUUGAAAGAAAAUAAAACAGAGAAGCGUUGAACUUUAAAAAAAAAAAAGGGUAGAAGCGAGCAUAUAUAAAGAGCAAAACCAAUUAACCAGGAGCAAGAACAACAAGCACAAAAUUCAAGCAAUCAAAUGUAGAAACCGGAGUCAGGUUGAACUGCAAAGACAAUGGACUAAUUGAGGUAUGCAAUGUGGAGCAGGUGGUUGAGGACCCAUUAAUGUUAGGGGAUAGGAUGGCAAAAUUUCAAAAAUACAGACUGCAAAAAGCAGGUCAAGAUACCUACUGGCGUAACUUGCUGGCGUGAACAAUUUCCUUGAAAAAUGGGUAUUAAAGUGAGAAUUGAAGAAAAGCACGAAAAUGUGAAAUUGGUUAAGAAAGGCAAUUAGCUCCUAGUUUCUUGGGACUACUUAAUCUAUAAUCAAUUUGCAAUCAUCCAUAUCCACGCCUGCCACAUCUACCCCUGCCACGCCCACGACCACUUCCAUCGCCAUAACCACGGCACGCUACCAUUGCCACUGCCACGGCCACGGCCAUCGGCAAGUUAUUUAUGUAAUUACAAUGAGUGUUUAUAGAAAGAGUUAAUUAUGUCUAUUUUUUAAUUGGCCGGGUUAUUUACAGAUGGGGUGUAUCCAGUAUUGUACUGGGGUGUUAGAAGCAGUCACUCCAUCAAGAAAGUGCCUCCAAUUUAAUUUUUGUUUUCAAAAGUCAAUUCUUUACGCGAGUCUUUCUAUAGAAAUUGUAAGUUUAUUAUUAUUAUUUUUUUUCCUUUCGUGAAACAUAGGACAAUACACAUGAUGGCGUGCGCUUAUCUACGACCUUCCUUGACAUAACUUCCUACCGGCGGCUGUAAAUUAAUAUAUAAAUAUAAUGAAAAAAUCCCACUAUGGCACUAUAUUUGCCUAUAUAAAGGGGAUAAGCAAACUGCCCAGCAUCACAAACUCACUCACUGCUUUUUAUUGAGAGAAAAAGUUAAGAAAGAGAAUAGCAAAAGCAACAACAAUGGUGGUAAAGGUGUAUGGUCCAGCUUAUGCUUCUCCCAAACGGGUGAUUGUGUGCUUGAUUGAGAAGCAAAUCGAAUUUGAAACUGCUCCCGUUGAUCUCAUCAAAGGAGAGCAUAGAAAUCCUGAGUACCUCAAAUUGCAGGUUCAUUAAUUUAAUCAGCAAUUUUUUUUAAAAUUUUUUUUUAUGCAUGUAUGCAUUAUCUAAUCACUUCAUUCAUUAAUUGACGAUCGUGCGUCUCGAUGUUUCGAUUAAUUAAUUAGUCUUUUGUUUUCAAUUCUGACAAAAUAAUAUGUACAGCCUUUCGGAGCUCUUCCUGUCAUUCAAGAUGGAGAUUUUACGUUAUACGGUACUCCUUCCAUUUUCAAAUUGAAACGUAAAAUUUAAUUCAGAGUAAAUACUUUUAUGUCUUUAGAUUUAAGUUAAUUAAACAGAUAGUUUGUGAGAUUUUUUUCCUUAAAUUAUCCAAAAUGGUAUUGAAAAAUUUGUUUUCGUUAAACUUUACUUGAUUAUUCUUUACUUCCAAGUCGGUUGCAUGCCAAUUUUGUUUAUAUUUUAAAUUAUUAUGUCAGAAAAAUUCUAUUAUAUUAUUGAAAAAUCAUAUCCAUAUAUAGUUAUGAAAAGUAACUGCACAAACAUUUUGGAUAACUUCUUAAGGUAAGAGAGGUAACUGAGUGAAUCAAGCAAACUCUAGAGAUUAAAGGAAAAUUUAAGCUUUAAAUUAGCUAAGAACUUAAACAUGAUAUAAACAUCUUUCAAAAUUACUAGUUUUGUAUUCUAUUUAUAAGAUUAACAUUUCAGGUUAAUGAUUCAUUUACAGAAUCUCGAGCUAUCAUAAGGUACUACGCCGAAAAGUACAGGUCUCAAGGAACCGAACUUCUGGGAAAAACAAUUGAAGAAAGAGGCCUGGUGGAACAAUGGCUAGAAGUAGAGGCACACAACUAUCACCCGCCAAUUUACGAGAUGACCGUGCAACUUUUAUUUGCCUCCAAGUUGGGACUUUCUGUUGAUGAAAAAUUGGUAAAAAAGAGUGAAGAAAAGCUUGGAAAAGUUCUCGAUGUUUACGAGGAGAGGCUCUCAAAGAGCAAUUAUUUGGCUGGUGAUUUCUUCAGCCUGGCUGAUCUGAGUCACCUUCCUUUUACUCAAUACUUGGUUGGGCCGAUGGAGAAGGAGUACAUGAUUAGAGACAGAAAGCAUGUGAGUGCUUGGUGGGAUGAUAUUAGCAACAGGCCAUCCUGGAAGAAAGUCCUUGAGCUUUAUUAGCUACUUUGGCUGAGCUUGAUUUCAUGUAAUAAUAAUCGUGGGGCUUGUGUUUUUACUCCUGCCUCCUAGUUUGUUCAUGUGUUUGGCGAUAUGUAUCUUUCUUGUGUCUUUUUGGUUUUAAUAAAUAAAUGCUUGGGGCCUUGGAGGACAGAUGGCGUAGACGUUUCCAUGUUUUAAAAAAUUUAAAUUAACGAUGGCACAACAUAUAGAGUAGAGUUCUGAUCCAAAUUAAUUUUACAAUGCGUAAACAUUGACACUGAAAAUGGUAUCUUCAAAGCACUUGCACUGCAAGAAAAUGGUUUUUUUUUUCUUUUCUUUUCUUUUUCAUUUUUUUCAGAGGCGAAAAGCUAUAGAGAAAAGUGAUAUGUCAUUGAAAAUGUGCAUUCCAAUUGCACGGGGCUGCCGAAGGUUGCUGCUGUUAAUUCUCGGGUUGACAGUGUACUUUUUUCUACUAGUCGUUCAUAAACACAAUAUUUUCAAUGGCUAUAUGCGUGAAAAAAACAAAAAAUUCCAUCAGAAAUGAAAUUAUCAUGAUUUUUCUCUCGUUGUUUAUUGAAACGUAUAUAUUGUAGUUUAGUCUUCUUGAAAAUGAUCUGGAUAUGUCUUACAAAACAAUGCUGCUUUGCCUGGACAAAUGAACAGGACAAAUUUGCCCGCAUUUUUCUGGGAAAAGCCAAACACCAAGAUAUUUACAAAAGUUGCAUGAGAGUGUAACCUUGUAUAAUUGAGUAAAGGAAUCCCUCUCCAAACUUGAUAUAUGUAUAUAAUAGCUGAUUGGAUUCUUAAUCACUUGUCUUACCAAUCAAACAAUUUAUCAUUUAAUCAAUAGCUAAUCACAUUUAAGAGGUUACUUAAAAAUUAAGUUAGUGAAAAUGUCUUAAAUUGCAUGUGCCAACGAUACUGCAUCAUCAUACUAGUCGUCAAUUACUUAUAACCACCAUGGAUAUCCAUGCAAGAUCCUCCAUUAAUAUUAAUUUCUUAAUGUGGAAGUUAUACAGAUAUGCAGCCACCAUGUACAUCCAUGCAUGAUCCUUCAUUAAUAUUAAUUUCUUAAUGUAAAAGUUAUACCGAUAUCCACGCACAUACUUAAUUACCAAUUUAAGAUUUCUCACCUAACAAAAAAAGUAUCAUUAUGUUUUUGUAUUAUAUUAUUGGAUCAAAUGACUAAAAAUUAAAUAAAAUUAAAUAAAACCUGACUAUUUGAUAUGUUUAAACUAUAGAUGCCUAUAAUUUUUUAACCAUAAUCUGCAAAUAUUUUUGGUCAUAUAUAUCAAUAAACUAUUCAAAGAAUACAUACAUACAUACAUACAUACAUACAUACAUACAUACAUACAUACAUAAGGAGCAUAGAUGGAUCACGCGUGGCUACAACUGAAUAAGGUUAGAUAAUGCAUCGUGAUUUGGAAACAAUUAUAGCUGUACUACAAAGUUGUUGUUGUUGUUGUUGUCGUCGUUGUCGUUGUUGUUGUUGUUGUCGUUGUCGUUGUCGUUGUUGUCGUUGUUGUCGUCGUUGUUGUUGUUGUUGUUGUUGUUUUUGUUGUUGUUGUUGUUGUCGUUGUUGUUGUUGUCGUAGUUGUUGUUCUAUAUAAAAUAAUUUUAAUAUAAUUAAUACAUGAGAUUUGUUGUUGUUGUUGUCGCCGUCGUCGUUGUCGUCGUCGUCAUUGUUGUUGUUAUUGUUGUUGUUGUUGUUGUUGUGGUUGUCGUCGUUGUUGUUGUGGUUGUCGUUGUUGUUGUUGUGGUUGUUGUUAUUGUCGUCGUUGUUGUUGUUGUUAUAUAAAAUAAUUUUAAUAUAAUUAAUACAUGAGAUUUAUUUUAUUUAAAUUAAUUUUAUUUAAAAAAGAACUACUUCCCUACGAUUUGAAAAAAUAGUCAUAUAAACUCCAUGUUUUCAAUAAAGGGGCACCCUUUGACUCUAUUAAUUCAAAAAAAUUAAUUCCAAUAUUUUAUAAUAAAUAGAAGUAUGAUAUUAAAAUAAAUGUAACAAUGUAUACAUUUUUAAAUAAUUUUAAUAUUUAAAAAAUAUUGUAAUACUUUACAAUCUUAUAUUAAACUAAAUUUUAUAAUAAAUAGAAAUACAAUAUUAAAAAAAUAUAUAAAAAUUUAAAUUAUUAUUAUUAUUAUUAUAUAAAAUAAUUUUAAUAUAAUUAAUACAUGAGAUUUAUUUUAUUAAUUGUAAAAUCUAUUUGACCCAAUGAUUUAUUGAAAUGUUUUAUAAUAAAUAUAAACAUAUUAUUAAAAUAAAUAAAUAAUUUACAUUUUAAAAAUAUUUUAUAUAUUAAAAAAUUCUAAUUUUAUUAACUUACUGGCUAGACAAAUUAAACAUUUUAAGUUAUAUUUUUAUCUAUUAAAAAUUUUUGAAUUCAAAUUUUUAGUUAUUAUCUACUAGGAGUAUUACAGUAAAAAAAAGAUUUUGUUAUCCCUUAUUGAAAAUCUUAGUGGUGUAUCUUUUUCUCGAAUAUUAAAAUAUAAUUUAAAAUAAAUAUUAAAUUUUCUUUUCUCUCUCGUAUACUCUCUCUCGUGUAUCAUCCUUCAUCACUGCUCUAUCCAUCACCACCACCACACAUCUUUAUACAAUAGAUCUAUCACCACCUACAACACAUGAUGUGUUUUGUCGGGUUUUGUAAAAUUUCGUGAAUAAGCGAUUCGUUUAAUCGCUCCUUAGAGCAUAGAUUUUGAUUUUUAUUUGUGAUAAUCCAAUAUUUCAACAAUUUCAAUUUAAAAUUUGUUUUAAAAUUAUGAAUCAAUUCAACAAAAUGAGAGUCAGGGAGAGAGGAUAAGUUCACGAUCACGAGCUCCGGAGAGGCAAAAGAAUAAAAAUUGACUUUAAAGCUCAUUUUGGUUUGGAGCCCGCUUUACGUCUUUGGGUCCAGGAGGAAUCUAUUCAGGGCUGGCAACCUAAAAGGCCAAAAAUGGGAAACAAAGAAAAUGAAAUUGGAUUUUUUAGAUCAGUAAGCCUUUUGGUACCCUAAAAAACUCCUCAUAGAAUUCGUCUUUAAUUAAAAUUACUUAAAUAACAUAACAAAUAUUAAUUCAUUUCCUGUUUUGAAUGGAAAUUCAAUUAAACACUUACAUAAAUUAUUAUUUUAACAAUUUUUUAUACCUACCCCAUUUUAUAGUUUAUAUUUAUAUUUUAAAUUUUAAUAAAAAUAUUUUUUGAGAGAAGUAUAAAAGUUUAGAGUUAUGAAAAUAUAAAUUUUAUAAUAAGAAGAAAAAUUCAAGAUAAAUUUAAUAUUUAGGUUUAUAUGCAAUUUAAAAAGAAGUAUUUUUUUGGGUAAAGUUUUAUAGAAAGAUGGUUGAUUUUUACAUAUCAAUUUGUAUUUUAUCAAUUUAACUGAGGACACUUUAAGAAAUAAAUUUAAAAGAGAUGUUAUAAAGAUUUUAAAAAGAGUGUUAAAAGCUCUACUCUUUCUAGAUCAUUGCCAAGGCCAAAAAAAUAACGUUAGUAACUCCUAUUCAUUUUGUAUAUUUAUUAGUAUUGGGUCUGGAUUUUUGAAAAUUUUUCGAGGAUUGGAUUGAGUUUUCAAAUUGCCCUAACCCAACUCAAUCUUGAUUUUAGAGAAAACUUGAAUACCAAACUGCUAUGCCAGUUGUGCGAUAAGGUGGAUCCAAAAUGAAUUCUCUAGUUCUUUCUCACCAUACUAGAGUUAAAAUUCUCUUUUGCUACUUUUCUAAUACACAGAUUCACUAUAUCAAAAUUUUGGCUAUGAGAAUUGAGAAAUGAGUGGAUGCUUUCUCAUUGACAGUGAUAAAUCUUGUUUUGACAGGAUCAUCACCAAACCCUCCCCAUUGCUAUCACUAUUGCUAGAUUAGCAAGCAUGAGCUCGAAUUUCUUGGUGUGAAAAAUUUAGGCUAAUCUACAAAUAAGUUCAGAUGGCUGAGCUUGGAUUACGUUUUGUUCCUUAUUUAUAUUUAUCAGCUCCAUAUGGUUGUUAGCUGUAGUUUUUCGGAUUCUAUCCUUCAGAAUAUUGUUGAAUUAAUUCUUUUGUUUUUACAUAGACUGAUAAAAAAAGACACCUCUUGCGCUUGUUUUCGUCUUAUUAAUCUCAGUCUCUCACUUGCUCUACGCUCCACUAACUUUCACCAAAUGGUCACUGAUUAAUUCAUGCAUCUAGACAUGUUUUCCUCAUAGCUUAUAUCUCAAUUAUUAUUCUUUCUGACACGUUGAGAUUUUAAGAAUCAUGAGUGAGAGAAAAUAGCUUAUGAGUUACAAAGCUUUCAGUUUUAUGUACUAUUGCUAAGAGGCUAAACAGCUACUGUUUUCAAAUCCGUUAUAGGGAAGCAUUCUACAGUAGAUUCUUCAUUGACUGGUUUCAAGGAACUAAUUAGUGAAAACUAAAAGAUAGUUUGGUUUCAGUGCAACCAAAAACAUACUGGCAGUACAAUUUUCCCAAUGUUAGAACUCGUUUUAGUCAGAAAAUUUGAAUUUAGUAACAUUGUAAUUGAGGUCUUAUGAUAGUAACAUUAGUUGUAUAUGAGCAUUCACUCUAGUUGCUGUGGAUUCUAAUGUUUAUCACCGCAUCUCUCAUGCAUCGAGAAAUUUAUUACUCAAGAGUCAAGUCAUCUUUCUAGCUUAUGUUUGUCUUCCACAAUCAACUCCAAAGCUUAAGCAAAUUUUAUGGGUAUUCACCAGUUCGUAUUGAAUUCUAAUGUUUAUUAUUGCAUGUCUCAUUCACUGAGUAAUUUAUUAAAGUCAUCUCCCUGGUUUAUGUUUGUCUUUCACAAUCAAUUCCAAAGCUUAAGCAAUUUUUUUUUGGACAACAAGUCAACCACACUAUAUAUAUAUAUAUUUUUUGGUGGAUCACUUCUUUUUUUGUAGCACGGCCUACAUCAAUAUUCUUUCAUAUUUGAUACUGCUUUGCUUUUUACAGCUUGAAAGUCAAGAAUAUGGCACUGGUAGCGAGGAUGAUUAUGAUGGCGGUACAGUGAAGAAGAUGUAACAGAUGAAUUGGAAAUUGAUAACGACUAUAAAGUUCCAGCACCUGAUGUUAUUCGUCGUUGUGUGGAAUAUGCUGAAAAGUAUGAAAAUGAAAAGGUAGUUAUUAUGCAGGAAAGUAGUGAUGAGUCAGAAAAGUGGGAUUGUUAGACUAUCGUUUCUACGUACUCAAACUUUGAUAACCAUCCAGCUAAAAUUGCAGCUCCGGGGUUAGCAGGAAAGAAAAAGUUGGCUGAAACCAUCUCUGGAGCCUUGAGUGCUCCCAGACAUGUCAUAUUCCUUCAAGGAAAGGAGAAGCUGCCUCUGGACUUUCUGCCUCUUAGUCGAAAAGCUGCUACGGAAAAAAGUGAAGUCUGCGGGUGCUCCGAAAACUGAACAGCAGAAGAGGAAGCAGCAUGGCCAAGAAUCGAAAGAAGAGAAGAGAGAACGGAAGGUAUUUGUUUGUUACUCCAGAUUUCUCUGUAUAUUUUUGUGCAUGUGCCACAUAUCAGUAUGUGUUAUUUUUUGUGAACAGUCUUCUUGCUUGUUUCCUGAUGCUUGUAACAUUUCAAAUAUUGUCUUAGGUUUAUGCUGUUUAUCUAUUUACGUUUAGAUGUGAUUUGAUAAGGACAUAUACUGCAUGCAAGCUGCAGUGAAGAAGGGACGACGUGAAGCUUGGCGAGCUAAAAAAGAAGAACUGUAUAGGUGUAAAGCGCAGCGUACUCAAAAGGUUGCCACUAUUUCUUGCCCGUCUUCUAUCCGUCUAAUGUAAGUAUUUUGAUCAUCAAAAGUUCUUUCAAUUGAAAUUGCAUCAUGAGUAGGCAAUUUGGAUGAAUAUUCUUUUGGAUUAUUUAAUAUCAAACGGUAUUGUGUUUGCGAAGCUUAAUUGAACAAUGCUCUGAUAAUCAAUUGAUUGCUCAUUUAUUUUGAAAUAUGUGAAAUUGGACAUCAGAUUGUCGCUUAAGGCAGUGUGAUCAUGCAGCAGGUUUUUGUUUUUCCAUUUUUUGACUUUUGAGGUUGUUGCUGAUCCCGAAACAACUUGAUCACAACUGCAAUCUUGAUGAGCUGAGGCACCAUAUGUCUACCCAUCCUUUAUUGCCUUCGAAUAUGGGCUGGGAGCAGGAAAUUGAUCUCGCUUGUUUUAGUUUAAUAUUUAAUGUUUUAUAAUUGGUAUGCCUGUCUUAUGUCAUAAUCAUAAAAUAUGUUCUCACCUUUCUGUGAGACCUCUUGUUAUUUAAAAAAAAAAAAAAGUAUGAAAGGCCCAAAAAUGAAUAACUAGAAUUGCAUAUUGCUGCAGGCAGUAGUAGAACACUUUUGUCACGUCUUUUUUCUUUUUCUUUUUUAUAUUACCGUACACACUUUGGAUCUUACAAUUUGUUUAUUCGUCGUUUCUUUGCAAUGAGAUAAUAAUUUUUUUUCUCUCAUGUUCUUGUCUUGAUAUAUCUAUCUGUCUAUAUUUUUCAACGUGGAGCAUACGGGAUUUACUCCAAGAAGGGGUGAGUAGGCAUUUUCCUCGUAAUGCUGUUUAUAGUGUAGAAUUUACCUUGAUAAUAGAAAACGCUGACUCGAAUCCCAGAUGAAACCUCUGUUUUUUUUCUUGUUUGGAUGGUACCCAAUACAAUUUAUUAAAGAAAAAUUAUGGGGAAAAUAUUUUUACAAGCAAUGUGACAGUGUGAUAGUAUAAACCAUUGGCAAUAUAUUUUAGGAUUGCAGUUACUAGAAUACAUCACUAAUCCAUACAAACCUCUUUAUAUCAUACAAGUACAUACCGGGCAAACUCGGAAAUAUAGUUGUAAGAAAUUUGCUGGUUGGAUUAUGAGAAGUAAGAAUGCCGCAUGAUUGUACUAAGGCAAUGAAGCAGUGCUGGGGAAAGGGAAAUCUGAAUGAAAUGAACUGGGAGGAGAAGUGCGACAUGAUUUUUCCGCAUGAGGAACUGGGGCAGAAUAGCCUCCUCCAGUUCUUGGUGUUGGGUUCCAGGUUCCAUAAUCUCCAAAGCUUGGUUCGAUCUGGUAGUGCUUCUUGCUUCCCUCGUUCCAGUCCUCAAGUGGAUGUAAGAGAGGAGAUGAUGGCAGCAGUGGUGAAGAUGAUGGUGAUGAUUCUGUAGCUAUCACAGCUAUCAAUGUCAAUAUAACUAGCAUGAACACACAUAUGAUGUGCCCAACCGACCUCUCACUUAAACUUGACAUGCUUAUUUUGCGCGUCUUGUGCAUUCUAAUUGAAAGCUUUUUCACUGUGUCUAAUGUUUUGUUCAUCAACGAACCCCGUUACUGAAUUUUAAUUUUAGUUGAUUUAUGCUAAUUUGAAUACAACAGCUGUUGUCUUAGUAGGAACCAGUGUUUGAUUAAAUUGAUCCUUCUUUGCUCACGAAAUGGAUGAUGCUUCAUGAGUUUGUCAUGUGUUUUUCACAAAAAAAACAAACAUCAAUUUCGGCAUCUUGGCUUCAUUUUCAAUUGCCAUUUGCCGUUUCAUUGUUAAACACGAGCAAUCGUUCCUUCAUACAGCAAUUCGAAGAAGUGUACUAGUUGGGAAUUCCGUAUUUUAUUUGGAAAAUGCAAAUGAAAAUUAAAUAGAUAAUGUCACGCUCAUUGAAUUUUGUCAGGAUUCUAAUAGUAAGCUACCGUAAGUCAAAACACAAAUGUUACAUCAUCUUAGUUUUUAAAACACCAAAGAGAAUAAUGGUUGCUUUUAUGUGCUAAUUCAUAUGGUAUUUUGAAAAUUCCAUUUAAUUCCCAGAUUUUAUCUUAUAAUAAAAUUCUCAACAAUAGAAAACAAGUAGGUUUUUGGUGGAUAUUGGAUAAAAGUCCAUGAAUCAGUAAAAGUAUCCAAUUAAUAUCCUUUAACAUAAAAGAGCUUAUCCAAGGUGACUGACAAGUUGUUAUCAAUGGUGUUUAUCAUAAAACAAACAUUGCAGCUAAUUUUCUUAUUAUUUAUGCUCUUACUCUUCCUAUCGGGAUCCAUGUUUUUAACUUUGCACCUAUAGAUCUUGAUUUUUGGUUGUAAUUUGAUAGAUUUAGAAUUGCGCUCUCUCGUUUUGUUAGGCUUUAACUUUUAUUAGAUUUUUCACUGUUGAAAAAUCUUAUAAAAAUAAGUAAUUUAGAAAUUUUCAAUACUGGGAACACAUCGCUAGCCUAAGGCGAGCUUCGCUAUCCUCCCGAAGCCGGUAUUUUCCUCGUUAAAACAAAAAAUCCUGUAGCAAAUUAAGCAAAUGGUUGUAAUUCAGGAAGAGGGUGUAAUAAUCCUUCUAAAAUUUUACUUUGACAUUCCUUCCCAAUCUUUGGGUUUUGGAGUCCAUGAUUAUGACAGCUGAAAAGGGUCGUUUACUCGUUUACUCUUUGGACAUAAAUAGAUGAUUUGUAGGCCUUUAACUCAAUCAUCAGGCCUUCGGCCUUCAGAGGAUGCAAUUCGACACAAUUCUCUUAGGGUACGUUUGAUACACGAAUUGUAUUAUAUUAUAUUGUAUUAUUUUAAUAUUAAUAUAUUGUAUUAUGUUGUAUUGUAUUAGCAUUGUAUUAUAAUAAUAUUAUAUAAUGUUUGGUACUACACUGUACUGUAAUAAUUUUUUUGAUUAAUUUGAAUUAAAUAUUAUAUUAUAUUAAUAUACUUAAAUUGUAUUAAUAUUUUAUAUUAUUAUUAAUUUUCAAUUAAUAUCAUUCAUAUUUAAGUAUUUAUUAUUAGUCAUAAUAAAUUAUAAAUUUAUUAAUAAAUUAAAAUGUAAAAAUAAAAAAUAUAAUAUAAUAUUAUUGAACAAUAAAUCAUUUAUUUAUAUUAACAAUUAUAAUGUAAAAAAAUAAAAAUAUUAAAUUAAAAAAUAAAAAUAUUAAAUUAAAAAAUAAUAUUUAUUAUUAUUAUUAUUAUUAUUAUUAUAAAAUUAAAGUAAAAGCAAAAGUUAGCAAAAGCAAAUGGAAAGUUGGAAACGAAAAGGAAACAAAAAAAAAAAAAAAGGAAAGAGCAAGCGGCAGUUUGCCGCAUUAGCUAAACCCGCAUUAGAUUGGCUCAUUAUGCAGUGUUUCUGUAGCUUUUAACUUACCAAACAUGAGCUUGUAUAAAGCUAAUGCAAUGAGGAGUUAUAAUACAACAACCAAACAUGCCCUUAUUACAUAGCCCAGCCCACAUCCAUCUGUCAUUUUAGAAAGCUUGUGUUGUUAUAUGUCAUGUUAUGUACUUACUUAGUAGCUUAGCUAAUGGAUCCAUAUCAGUGAAAAGAAAACUAACGGACCAAAUGAGGUUUAGAUAUGAAGCACUGCUACAAUAACAAGUUCAUUGAGAGUCGGCAUUUGAGAUUGACAAAAGUUGAGCAUAAAUUAAAUUUGAAACUUGAGAGUUUAUCUCAAGUAGAAAGCUUGAAAUUUAAUAUUAAAUUAAAGAUUAUAAAGACCACGCAAACAAAAUUCUAAUGCCAAUACUAAUUUUAACAUAAUUUCAAAGCUUGACGUUGAUGCAAUUCUCCGUAUAUGUAAAAGAUUUGUAAGCAGAAGACAAAAAAACAUAAACACAAAUUCAUUUGUUGGCAAAACACCGAAUGUAAACACUGCAAUUAUGGUCACUACCAUACAUAUUAUACUUAGAAUCACGGCAAGGGGUUGAUCUUCCUCUUCUUUUAAAAACAUCUCUUGCUUAUGCUCAUGGAGAUUCAUAUCUACCUAGAUAAUAUUUUGAAUUUGGUUAUUGAAAAUCGAUCACAACCCAUACACAUAUCGAACAAUAAAUUAAACAUAAAUGUACCAAAUAAAUAAAUAAAGCUCAUGUGAAAUCUAUUAAUCGAUUUUAUGUAUGUAUAUGUGCUACUACUACUAUUAUUAUUAUUAUUAUUUUUUAAAUGUAAAAGGAAACAUGAUAUAUAUGCCAAAUAUACUAGAGAUCGAGAACGCGGUAGUGACUACUAGUGAAUGCUUCUUGCUUUUGAUGCACAGAUUCCAUCAAAAUCAAAUAUAAUCGAGGAAAUAAGAAAGAUUAUUAGUUACCUAAUUGAUUGAUAAUCGAGAAUGGCAAUUUAGUUUUGAUUUUUUAAUUUUAUUAUUUUUUCGGAUUUUUUUUUUAUUUUGUAUCAACCCGACAUUUUUUGAAUAGGGUCAGGUCGGAUAUUUUGCCUAUCCUUACUCAUUUCCCUAAAUGGCCAAAAGAAAUCUGAAAACCCUAACAGCCAUCAGCCGCUACAGUUUGUUACCACUAACAGCCCAUCAGCCCCCAGCAUUCAUCGUCACCCACCAACACUCAACCGCGCCAGUCGGUAAUUUAAUGCUAUUAUGAUUCUGUACGAAAUGAGAGUAAAAAUUAGGUAUUGCACGAAUGAAUUUUAGAAGAUGAAUUCGGAGUUGAAUUUCGGUGUGUGGAUUUUAGAUUGUUGCAUCGAGAUUGCUUUCUGGUAUUAUCUUGUAAAUCAUUGCGCUGUUCUAUUGUAGUUUUGAAAAUGAGAUGGUCCCAGCAGGUUUAAUGUCCAUUUUCUCACUUAUCAUGAUGGUCAAUUUUUACAUGGCAAAGGCAAAACAAUUGGAAUAGAUAUAUACACAAAAAAAAAAAAAGAAGCAAAGGACUAGAGGUCAUGCAGAGAAAACAAAACCAAAAGAAUGAAAAGACGCAGGGAAAGCAAAAUCAAAAAGCAAAAGAGGUGUGGAUGUGAGAAAAAUUAAGAAAAAGUGUCUCAAGACAAAAAGCAUAUACAGCCACGUGAAAGAAAAGAAAUGAGAGACGUGCACAGAGAAUUUUGUCUCAUUUUGUCCUUACGUGGAAUUACUGAAAAACAUAAAUGGGUUUCACGUUUUAUUUGCACCACACUUUUACAAUCAGUGUUUAAUUUUUUAAACCGUUCAACCUGUAAUUUAUUUAACUGAAACUAUAUAUGACAACGAUUAUCCCUUUUCCAAUAAUGGUAAUAUUUUUUUCUUUUAACUCACUCACUGCUACUUUUAUAAUUAAAAAAAUUUAUGAAUGUUUUAACAUGUUUAAAAAAAAAAACAGAUAAAAUAGCAAUAGAAACAUGAUGGCAAUGCAAAAAUCUUGAUUGGAAUUGGUCAAGGAUUGGUACAAGCUAGUUGUUUAAUCCCCAUCCCCUUCACCUCCUUCUCCACCAGUUGUCUUCUUUACAGCGGCCUUUAGGUUCUUUCGCUUCAAUCUUUCACUUCAUUAUGUUAUGCUGGAUUAACAUACAGAAGCAAGUAUAGUUAUAAAAUAUGUGGUAAUUCAUAACUCAUUUGCAAUGAGCUGCAAGGUUUCCUUUCUUCUUCAUCUCUUCAAGGUUAUUCUAAAAUAAGAAACAAACAAUUUAAUUAAGUUAAAAUAAAAAAAUCGAGGGUUCAUAAUUUGAGAUGAGGAAUUUCUAAAGAAAUGAAUAAUAAUAAGGAUACAUUUCUGGAUUAUAUUGGUAUGUUGAGAGCCAAAAAUUAUUUUAAACUUAUUAAUGCAUUUGUUGAGAAAUAGGGGCUAAUUAAUGAGAUAAAUUAAGAGAGUUACAUAUCACCAUUGGUUUACUUAUCUCUAUCAAUAAAUCAUGAUUAGGAUUUAAUACUGAACUAAAAUUUUAUUUGAGCACCUAAUCAAUAGUGAGGAUUCAUUAUUUUAUUUAUUAUUUAAUUUUUCUUUCUUAACAACCACUAAUUUAUUCAGUGCUCGACAAAAACUCAAAACUCAGGUCGAUCAACAUUAAGUCUAUAAAUCACAUCACCAAUCACUGAUUGUAAAUUAAUAUAUAAAUAUUAAGAAAAACUCCACAAUGGCACUAUAUAUUAAACGGAUAAGCAACUCCUAUGAACCGUGCACACACUCACUGACUUUUAGUGAGAAAUAAUUAAGAGAUUAGCGUAAGCAACAACAAUGGUGGUAAAGGUGUACGGUCCAGCUUAUGCUUCUCCAAAACGAGUGAUUGUAUGCUUGAUUGAGAAGCAAAUUGAAUUUGAAACUGUUCCUGUUGAUCUUGUCAAAGGAGAGAAUAAAAAUCCUGAGUACCUCAAAUUACAGGUUCAUAUAUAAAUUCAAUUAAUUAAGCAUCAUUUUUUUUAAUUAUGUAUAUAUAAAUUAUUUAACUUCUAUAUUGAAGAUCGUGUGUCUUGAUUUGCUUUGAUUAAUUAAUUAAUUAACUCUUUUGCUUUCAAUUUUGACAAAAUAAUAUGUGCAGCCUUUUGGAUCCCUUCCAGUUAUUCAAGAUGGAGAUUUUACUCUAUACGGUACACCUUUCGUUUUCACAUAUACUGAAAUGUAAAAUUUAAGUAAGAGCAAAAUAAUUUUUAGAUUUGAGUUAAUUGACCAGAUAGUUUGGUCUUGGUAUAUCUGUUUUCUUUGCAAUUCAUUUAGUUAUUUUUUAGUUCUUAUUUACUGCAUAUCAAUUUUAUUUGUAUUUAAAUUAUAUCAGAAAAAUUAAUUAUUGAAAAAGUUAGAUGGAUCAACUAUGAAAAUAAUUGCACAAAUAUCUUGGAAAAACUCUAGAGACUAGAAGGAGAUGUAUACUUUUAAUUAACUAAUUACGAACUUAAACAUGGCACAGGUAACUUUCAACUUCAGAAGUUUUAUAUUGUAGUUAUAAGUUUAACGUUUCAGGUAUUGAUUCAUUUGCAGAAUCGCGAGCUAUCAUAAAGUAUUAUGCCGAGAAGUACAAGUCUCAAGGAACAACCGAUCUUCUGGGAAGAACAGUUGAAGAAAGAGGCCUGGUGGAACAAUGGCUGGAAGUAGAGGCACACAACUUUCACCCACCAAUUUACCAGAUGACCACGCAAAUUUUAUUUUUCGCGAAGAGGGGACUUCCUGCCGAUGAGAAUUUGAUAAAGGAGAGCGAGGAAAAGCUUGGAAAAGUUCUCGACGUUUACGAGGAGAGGCUGUCGAAGAGCAAGUAUUUGGCUGGGGAUUUCUUCAGCCUGGCUGAUCUGAGUCACCUUCCAUUUACUCAAUACUUGGUUGGGCCGAUGGAGAAGGAGUAUAUGAUUAGAGACAGGAAGCAUGUGAGUGCCUGGUGGGAUGAUAUUAGCAACAGGCCAUCCUGGAAGAAAGUCCUUGAGCUUUAUUAGCUACUUAAUUUGUGUUGAAUAAGUCUCUGCCUUUGGCUGAGUUUUUUAAUCUUGGG